rnacentral:lncRNA from 1 species
UAAAAACUUGGCUCAUGCCAAAAUCAUUCUCAUACUCAGUUAUCAGGGAUACCUUGGCCGAGGGCUAUCCCAACUGAGUCCGCCAAGGCUGAUAAAAAGUUAUGUACGCAUAAAUCAUGUUUUUAUUUUGAAAACAUAGCCGUUCGUUGGCGUUGGCUAAGUUCACCCUCACGUGGUGGUGUGGCGUGAAGUGAACUAUAAAGUGUUAACCUCAGGAGUUAUCCAUCCGUGCCUCUCAUAUUGAGGUAUGGAUAUAAUAAGGUUACCGUGCCCCCUUUAAUAGGCUGGUCCACGAAACUCGUCCACUACAGCGACUAAUCAAUAACCCACCAAUUCAAUAAAAUUUAACAGCAUGACAUGGUAAUUUUAUCAUUAUCCAGCCUAUCAAGGCAAACAACAGUUUAUACAUUUUCAACACAAAUACCAAUUCAGCCAUUCAUGCCAAUAUUGCCAUAAGCCAAUCAAUUAGAACCAUAAAUUCACAAUACAUCAAAUGGUCUCCAAUUACUCUAUUUUCAAAGCCAUCAUUCAAUUUCAAGACAAUUUAUAAAAUCAUUUCAUUUAAACACAUUUUGUUUANNNNNNNNNNNNNNNNNNNNNNNNNNNNNNNNNNNNNNNNNNNNNNNNNNNNNNNNNNNNNNNNNNNNNNNNNNNNNNNNNNNNNNNNNNNNNNNNNNNNNNNNNNNNNNNNNNNNNNNNNNNNNNNNNNNNNNNNNNNNNNNNNNNNNNNNNNNNNNNNNNNNNNNNNNNNNNNNNNNNNNNNNNNNNNNNNNNNNNNNNNNNNNNNNNNNNNNNNNNNNNNNNNNNNNNNNNNNNNNNNNNNNNNNNNNNNNNNNNNNNNNNNNNNNNNNNNNNNNNNNNNNNNNNNNNNNNNNNNNNNNNNNNNNNNNNNNNNNNNNNNNNNNNNNNNNNNNNNNNNNNNNNNNNNNNNNNNNNNNNNNNNNNNNNNNNNNNNNNNNNNNNNNNNNNNNNNNNNNNNNNNUAUAAUUUUUCAAGCUUGAUUCUCACACCAUAAAUCACUAAUUCCUAACCAAAUCACUUGAAAUAAAAUCAAAAUCAUCAUCAAUACUCUACAAGGAAGAUUCGGCCAAUGGAGGUUCUUGAGGGGUAUACGGUUUUUCAUGCUAAACAUUACCAUUUUCGGUUUCCACCACCACAAUUCAUUAAAUUCUAACUAAAUAACAUAAGACAUCACAAGAUUCAUCUUCAAUAUUGUCUUUAUGAAAUUCGGCCAAUGAAGAAUCCAUGAAGAACAUGUGAUUUUUCUUACUUGUUUUCCUUCCAAUCAUGAAAAAUCAACUAUAAACACUAAAAUAUCUCAAAAUCUAACCAAAUAAUUCAUCAAAUCUUCUCUCUCUAAAUUCGGUUAGCCAUGAAUCCUUCAUGAUAUCUUGUGAUUCAACCAUGGAAAAUGCAAAAUAAUAUUAGCAUGGGAAAGGUAGAUCACAAGUCAAAAUCAAGAAAUUUUACCUUUGAUUGCUUGAUUACUUGAAAUCCACCGAUUUUCUCUUGAAUUUUCACCUUAAGGUUCUUGUUCUUUCUUUUCUUCCUUUGUUCUUACUUUGGCCAGCCAUAUGAAGAGAAAUGGGCUGAUUUUGUGCUAAUUUAUAAGGAAAAUAAUAAAUGGAUGAGAAUUUGACACAUGUCACCAUUCCAUUGGUCCAUGUGUCAUACUUACCCAUUAAGCAAUCUCUCUCCACCACUUAAAUUUUCUCAAUUAUCCAUGAUAAUAUUGGGUAAAAUCCAUGUGCUGGACAAGUGUUGGGUGGUGUAAAAUUACAAUUUUGCCCAUGGGGUGGCAAAAUGACUAUUUUGCCCUUAUGCUCAAAAAAAUACCGGAAUUAAAAUUUUUCACUUCUCAAACUCAAAUUAUAUUCCAAAUAGUCAAUCUUGAUCAAAAACUUCUUCCAACAUUCCAAUUUUAACCUCGAGUAGCAAAAUGACCAUUUUGCCUCUAGGUCAUGAAAAUUCCAAUUUAACUCUAAAUCGAUCCUCGAACUUCGAAUCACCAUUUUAAGUCAUUAUGGGGUUUUAAAAUUCUCAAUUUCAUCUUAAAAUCUCUAUUUGGACUAGUUUGAGGCUUAAUUCAACUUAAUUGUACCAUUUGGGACAAUACCGUCUUUUAACGAUUUUUAAAGUACCCAAGUAAGCAAACAUGCAUUCUUAUGUAAGAAUGGCAUAAUAAACAUAUUGUAGAGUCAGGCUUGACAAAUUUAUUAUGAAUUGUAUUUCUCUAAAAAUACUAAAUUAUCAUUCUCAUCAUCAAGUAUAAAGGUGGGACCUUAUAUCCACUUGUCAUCCAUAAAUCCACACACAUUUCUCAUUUCCUAUUCAUAACAGAAUUGAAGUUUUUGAAGUAAAACAUUUGAAAGUGUCACAGCCUAAUUCUCGGGCUAUGACCGGCAUAAGGACCCAUUAUGCACAGCCCACUAGGCCCAAGUAAGCCUUUCUAUAUGAACUUGUACAUUAGUCCAUCUAUCAUGCAUAUCUCUUUAAGAUCUAUACUUAAUAGUGUUCAAAUGCCAAUUUCUUCGAAAAGAAUUCAUAGAACCCAAGUAAAUACUCACAUUGGCACCAUAAAUCAAAAUAUACAUAGAUAGUUUGUCAAAUGCAUCUUAACAAUUCACAUUAAGCAUAUAUGUGCAUGUAUAAAGACCUUGACAGCUAGCCGAGUGACUCUGGGCGUGGGUGCUAACAUUUAGUGUUAGGGCGACCUACCGAAAAAUAGAUAAGAGGAAGCACCUUGGCUUAGGAAUCCAACUACCUUUGAACCUGAAAACUAAAACAUGAAGUUGAAAAUAAUGAGUAUAAACUCAAUGAGUGAACAUGGGAAGGGAACAAGCAAACGAUAUGGAGAACUUUUUGAAAACAUGAUGCACUCGUUUAAAAACAAUGUCGUGCUGUUUUUCAACUCAUUUUAAAACAUUUAGGACGUUCAAGCAAGAUAAGUAUAGCAGAGCGAAUCUCGCUGUAGCGGAGAGGCAUUCUCGUCGCAGCGAAAUCCAAAGCAAGGGUUAAGGCCAUCCACCCGAGAGUUUCUCGCUGCAACGAAAUUUCUAAGCAGAUGAAAUUAGGGGAAUUUCACUGCUAUAAAAAUCCAAUCUUGUUGCAAUGAAAAUCAAAUUAAACACAUUUGACAAUAAUCAAGUUUCAAUAGUCAAUGCAAUCACAUAUUAAUUCUGAACCUCUCUAUACAGUAAAUAUAUAUAUAUAUACACACACAUAUGCCACCACCACCUCACCUAGCUCAUGUGCACUCCCACACUGCACAUAGCUGGAGUCAUUGAGUGCACCCCCACAUCACGCACAACUAAUGCCAUCGUGUGCACCCCCACAUCGCACACAGGCAAUAUCAUCAUUCACACUCCCGCACCUCGUCAUCAUUGGCAUGUGCACCCCCCACAUCACGCACAUGCGCGGUUAUAAUUAUCACACAAUAUUAACUAUCAAUACACAACAUAUAUAUAUCAACAUAAUAUAGGAGCACAAGGAUUCAUCCUAUUACACAUUCACAACAUACAACGUUUCAUCAAGGGCUUGUUCCCAUGCAAAUUUUAAAGAAAAACAAUAAAACUUUUCAAGUGGUUCAAUCAAGCAUAUAAUCAUUUGUUCCAAAACAUUUUGAUGCAAGUUCACUCACCUUGCGAUAACGGGAUGUUACAUCGCUAUUAGUUCGGAGGGGCAUCUAGCUAUUUCUACUUGCCGAUCGCUCGUUAUUUCCUCCGGCACGUUACCACAGACACUACCUUUACUUUUGGACUUCCUAGCAACAAUCCAAAUUCAAGAUCUUUAGUGUACCUCAUUUCUACUUCUCUCUUUCCUUCAAUCAUGAAUCCUUAUUCAACUAACUUAUAUCUUGACACAUUCUUUACCAAAGUGGCCUUUAUCCUUACUUGCGUCAUUCUUUAGAUUAUGGAUACCGACAACUUAUUUAUGACUCUAGCACAUAUAUAAAUAUUGUCUAAGGAUGUUUAUCAAGUUUAUCCAUCAUUUCCACAAUAAUUACCUAGGAUAUGGCAGCAACUAUAAAUUUACUUCCAUCAAACAUUUUCUAAGUCUACAUGUACCACCAUCCUCAUUUACAUGUUGCCACCAAGCAUAACAUUAAUAUUCAUUCAUGCACACCAACAUCCAUAACCUUUCAAACCUUUCCUAACAACACAUAUCUACACACCAAACUUUCAAUUAAUAUAAUUGCCUUCCAUCCAUACCCAUGACAUCACAAUAACACUACAUAUGCAUACAAUCAUUCUCACAAUAUUAAACUAAUCAUAAGCUUCAAAUUGUAGCAUUAAGCUUACCACUUGGUUUUAGCUUGAAUCACCCAACAAAAUUCAUAAUUUCCUCACACCCAUGGUCACCAUAGCUGCCACAAAAUGAUUCACACAUUAUUUUUUCAAGGAUUUAACCAACCAUAAACUUAAAACACAAAAAUCCUUACCUUAUGUUUCUUGAAUCUUGAGACCCACUUGAUAUUUCUUCAAUUUCUCUUGAACCAUUUACUACCCAAGCCUUCCACCUUUCUCUCCUUUCUUUUAUUAGCCGAUUCUUUUUAUUUUUCUCUUCAAUUGCAUGGGGUAAAGUGAAAAUGGGGUGAUAGUUUGGAAAUGGCGUGGGAGGAAGAAGAUGAAGAAGAAAAAAUGGUCAUCUUGAAGAGAUAAGGAUCAACCAAGGAUAAGGAUGAAGGGUCAAAGGAAGCUUUGACCAAGCUUGAUAGGAAAAUUAUCGUUUUACCCUCUUAGGUUCCCAUCAUUUCAAUUUAGUCCUCCCAACCCUCUUCUAAAUCCCAAUUUCCUUUUAUUAUCUUGUUUUACAUAUGUACAAAUGAAAUAUAAAAUUUGUACUCCAACGCAGUGUCCCCAUAAUAUUUAAAAUAUUUAUUUACCCGCACUAUCUUUAUUUAAUAAAGACACGCGGGCUCCAUUAACGCCAUUUUUCUCCGAAAUUUCCUCGUUCGUCUUCUCCCCCACCUAGAUUGACCAUAGAUUCCUCCUUUAUGGAAAAUUUUGACAUAGAAUAAAAUAUUAAUAUUUUAAUAUUAUUUUAUUCUAAAAUUUUCCACUUGUCUCCUUGGCACCCAAAACACCUUGUUAUACCUUGAUUCACUUUUUUUCUCACUAAUUCAUCAUCAAUAAAAAAUAUUAUUAUUUAAUUAUUAUUUCUUUACGUGCGGCAUAUUUUUCUCCAACCUAUUCGUUUCACCUUUCAUCACUUUUAAACAUUCUAAUUAACCUCAAUUGGCAUCUGAUAAGCUUUAUUAGCCACCAUAUCAAAGUACGGGGUAUUACAGUCUCCCCCAAUCUCCCCCGCUUAAAUAGAAUUCGUCCUCGAAUUCAUGGCGGUGUCGGGUUAUCAAUUCACUUUAUGAUCUUAUUUCAUUCCUCCCUUUAUAGGGAAUUUUGGUUUAUUCACCUCGUUCAUCUCCAGUUCGACUAGAAUACUUCACUUAUGUCUAUUAUCAUCUGUUAGAAUCAGAUCAGUAGUACCCUUUACAAUCAUUAUCUGUUAUAUUGAGACAUCGAGUAUGCCUUUAUCACUAUCAUUAAAUUUGAACCAUAACUCUAUCUCAAUCCUACCUAUUUUGAUCACACAGUAUACUUCUUAUAUAUGCCUAAUCCCCAUCUUAUUACUUCACUCCUUGUCGAACUUCUUGACAUUCAUUCAUUCAUCUUAUCCGCAUACAUUAUUAUAUAGCUUACAGCAUUAUAGACAUGCCAUGUUUAUUCCUGCAUGUAUUUCUCGACGUUGGAAGGGAGGUUAAUGCCUUCAAAUAUUCCCUCAUGCAUCAUGUUUAUCUUGCAUUUAUGCAACUUUAAUCUUCCUACUUGUAUUUGUCCAUCUUGUAUGGCUUAACCACGCUAUGGAUUACAUUUCCUUGAUAUCAUCCCCUUGACUAUUUCUCCAAAAUUUCUUAUAUCAACAUAGCUCAACUUCUGAUGGGAUCUCUUAUUAUUGUACCACAUAUGCAACUCAUCAAGCAUAUUGUGUUCAAAUUUCAAAUCACUAAAAAUAAUUUUUUAUUCCCAUCGAUGACAUGAGUAACUCCACAUACACAUAUAUACAUCCAUUAAAUGUCAACAUCCAUUACCAUGUAUAAGAAACCUUUUUUAGUUUCCUCAACUUUGACAUGUCUAAUUUAUCCUUCCAUUUCAUAUCCAUAGAUCAUAGUUAGUCCACAAACAUCCAAAUAUAAUCAAUUCCCAAAUUACCCUUUGGACAUUUAAGUUAUCAUUUAGCUUACAUUCUAUUAUACUUUAUCCCUCAUAUAGUCCACAUGAACUCACAUUAUGCCGAUCUAUAACUUUACGUACUUACAAACUUAAGCUUUUCUCUUAUCAUUUCUAACCAUACACAUAAGUUUCAUCAUCUUACGCAUACUUGUAUCACAAUGUCAUUAACCACAUUUCAAUCGUUAAAUAUCAUUUCAUCCAAUUAAAAUCUAGUAUCCGCAUAUGCUUUACGAUCUUAUUGAUCCUUCAAAGGUUUCCUUUAAUUCAUCCUUGCCUCUUAUGCAAUAUCACAAUUCCUAAGAGUCAUCUUCAUUUCUCAUUUACCUUCUAUACUUCCAUCAUAUAUAUCCUUAUUCAUCCUGAUAUUAGUUAGUCAUUUAAAAUUUAGAUUUAUGGGAGUCAUGUGCACAUCUUGCAUUUUUUUCUUGAAUUCCAAUUUCCACAUUAGGGAAUUCCCAUUAACCAGCUUCAUUAUCGGGAUUACCUUCAACAUCUUAUACUAUUCCUUUACACUAGUGUGCCAUUAUUUUUCUUUUUGCAUCUACACAGUCAAUGCUCGUAAUUGCAUAACUUGAAAUAGGGUUUUACUUAAGUACCUCUCAAUAUCACUGUCAAAAUCAAUUUUUUUUCAAACUCACAUCAUGUGACCACGUAACCCAUGGUUUAGCCAUUACGCUCAUUGACAAUUUCGAAUACCACAUUACCUCAUCAUGCAGGUAAAAUAUUUGAAAGUACUAUUAACCAUAUUUAAUCAACUUAAUAUUCCUCUUGAUUCUUUACAUCGUAGCUUAUCUCAAAGACUUUCCAUCUCCCCUUUCACUUACAUGCCACUAUAUAUAGGGCAAUAAAGUAACUUUUCAAUUCAUGUAUCAUUCUCCAAAUCAUUUAAAUCUCCGCAUAACAAUGCUCAAUAUCAAGGUCUCUAAUACCAACUUUGUCACUAAGGGCAGCUCCACCUCUUUGGGUAGCCCUUUCCUCCUUCGCUGGUGACAACAAAAGGGUACUUAUCAGAGCACUCAUAGGGCAGCUCCACCUCUUUGGGUAGCCCUUUCCUCUAUAAACCUCUAGGCAAAGAGUUAUGCUUCGCCACUGUGUACAUACAAGAGUUCCCAAGGAUCGGGUUACAACCCUUUGCUCAUACAUUCAAUACACGAGAUGUUCUUAGCGUCGUGCGCUUAAUAGUUAGUGUUGCGGUGGUGCAACUGCCGGAAACUUCUUCCACAAGGAAGUUCUCCUACCUUCAAAGUUACUACUUCAAUCCUUCUCAACCAUAUGGCUUUUCUUUAAGCUCUUACCACAAUUUCUAUAAGCAUGUGUAUCUUCUCUUUGCUUAUCAUUUGCACUAAGCCAAGUUAAUACUUUCAACUCAUAUUAUCUUUUAACACUUAUCAUCAAUCACUAAGUCCCACCUUAGGACAUCCUUUCCAUAUGGUGUAAUGAAUUCACAAUAUAUAUAUAUAUAUNNNNNNNNNNNNNNNNNNNNNNNNNNNNNNNNNNNNNNNNNNNNNNNNNNNNNNNNNNNNNNNNNNNNNNNNNNNNNNNNNNNNNNNNNNNNNNNNNNNNNNNNNNNNNNNNNNNNNNNNNNNNNNNNNNNNNNNNNNNNNNAUAUAUAUAUAUAUAUAUAUAUAUAUAUAUAUAUAUAUAUAUCACUACACACAUAACUAUUCAUUAUUUAUGGCAUUUCAUAAUUCAUACCAUUCAUAAUUAAUUAUCUUUCUAUUCUCGUAACUCAGAUAGUUCAUUGACUUCCACUGCAAAUGAUUAGGAAAAUAGUUUAUCUUUUCUUUUUUUUUUCCCACACUUUAUACUCAUAAUUCUUAUUAAAUAAAAAAUUCACCUUUUCCAAGUUCCAUAAUUUGCCUCAAUUGGUCUAUAUUUGUACCAAAUUAUCAUCUUAUAAUGUCAUGGCAUCAUUUUGUAGUUCCCUCCAUACUUAAAUUUUACAAUCCUUGACUUGAUCACGUUAACCAUGCAAAGUGCCACCUAUAGCCUCAUUGAUUUCUCUCAUAUCCUUUCGAAUUGUAAUUGUAAUUGAGAUUUCAAUUUUCAUAUUUUCGCGAUGGAUUACUUACCUUACCAUGCUUUCUCACGAUAUUCUAUGCAGUUACAACACAUUGAACCUGCUUAUUAUAACAUAAUCCCUAGUUCAAUGUGUUUACUCAAAAAUCGACUUCUUUUAUUCAACUUGCCCACAUAAGCUAGGACUUUAUUUAUUUAUCUUUGCAUUCGAAAUCAUGCCAAAAACCCACAUACCAUGGUAAAUGAUAAUUUCUAAUAAACGCUAUCAAUUUAAAUGGCAUUUUAUGCCUUGUCAAAAAUUUAAGGUUAACACUCAAAAGUCCAUCACGUUUAUUGGUAACCAUUUCAUAGUACUGCAAAGCAUUUUUAUCGUCAGGUCUUAUAGUUGCUUGAAUCAUUAAUGACUUUCUACGUCAACCUUCAAUAAUUGCCUAAGGUGACUAAUCACGCCACUAGGGUGUAUAUCCUUCCUCAAUAAUUAUAUUGUUAGUUCUCCUCUGUCAUACCAAAAGAUUCCUAUAUGCACCAAAUCAUUUAAGUAGUUGCUUCAUAAUCCAUUCAAGUCACACGAAAAUAAAAACCAAACUCUUAAGUCCUUUGUACAGACGACUACUCCUACUUAAUUUACACCGCAUUUUCCCAUACUUAAAGUAAUACGGAGUUCAACAAAAGUAUUAAGUGUCCUUAGGAUCAUUGUUACCUUGAUCCGAGCACAUCGAUGGAUCCUCUUUCAGGUCCUCUUCUACCUCUUGAGAUUUUCCCAUUUUACCUUUAAUCCAAGCUUGCUGUAUUCUUAUGUAUUCCUCCCUACUCACAGGCGAAACACCUAUACCACAACCAGGAGGAAAGUGUUGGAUAGUUGACACUUUCCUAGGACGAAUAUCUCCCUUUGCAAUUGCCUCUUUUGUCUUUUUCUUAUGCCAUUCCUCAGACAUUUUCAAAAGGAAAUUUCUUACAACUUCCUGAAUGUCAGAGCUAUCUUUACUUUCAAAGCCCUCGUUACUCUCAAAGCUUUCCUUAUUACGAAACUAUUCUUCCAAUUUCGGUGAAAUUUAUGUAAUAGAAAUCCAGGACGGGCCACUUUUUGGACUACCUAUAUCAGGGCGCCAUUGGCUCCUAACAGUGGAGUCUAGCGAUCCUUCGCUAGUACUGUGAGGGGCAUCCGGACUACUGUCACUUUUAGACAUAGAGUGUGUAACAGGCGCACCUCUAAACCUAUACAUAACCAAGCAUCAAUUGCUUAGCCAUAUAUAUAUAUAUAUAUCAUAGGAAUAGGUAGGUUUUCUAAAGAAUUAGGGGCCUAUGUAGCCUCCCGUCCUUAGCCUAGAUUGCACACCCACAAUCCAAGGAUGAGACUCUACACAGACUCCCAUAACUCCGCUGACAGACACAAGAUUCCCCAGAACUCAACUAAACCUAGAGCUCUGAUACCACCUUUGUCAUAACCCUAUCCGGGCCAUGACUGGUGCAAGGACCCAAUAGGUAUAGCCCACUAGGCCCAAGAAAGCCUUCCUAUACGAGUUUGUAUGUUAGUCCAUUUAUCAUUCAUAUUUCUUUAAGAUCUAUACUUAAUAGUGUUUGAAUGCUAAUUUGUUCAAAGAUAAUUCGUAAAACCCAAGUAAAUACUCGCACUGAUAUCAUAAAUUAAAAUAUACAUAAAUAGUUUGUCAAAUGUAUCUUAACAAUUCACAUUAAACAUAUAUGUGCAUAUACACAGACCUUGAUCGUCAGCGGAGUGACUCUGGGCGUGGGUGCUAACAUUUAGUGUUAGGGUGACCUACCAAAAAAUAGAUAAAAGGAAGUACCUCGGCCUAGGAAUCCAACUACCUUCGAACCUGAAAACUAAAACAUGAAGUUGAAAAUAAUGAGUAUAAACUCAGUGAGUGAACAUAGGAAGGGAACAAGUAAAUGAUAAGGAAAGAUUUUGAAAACACGAUGCACUUAUUUUAAAAACAAUGCAAUUUAUUUUAAUUUCUUGUAAAGCCCCUUAAUUCAACUAUGAAACCUUGACCUCCAUAGACACGUAACUAGAAGCAAAUGCGAUAACACAGACUAGGGGUAAUUUUGUCAUUUUUCUUGGUGAGCUCUUAGAAGUGGGUUUUCUGAUAUUAUUAAUGCCUAAGUAGGCCUAAGGGAUAAAUAAGUGAUGCAUACAAUAAUGAAAUAAGUGAAGAAAAUAGAAAUAACGAUAAUUUCCAUAGUAAGGGCAAAAUGGUCAUUUUUAUCUUGAGUCAAAAUUUUUAAGUUUUCAUGAACCCGAGUAUUUCUAGACUAUUAUGGACUUUGUCUUAGUGUCAAAAUAGUAAAAAGAUUGCACAAAGGAUAGGAGGAAGAUAAAGCCACCUUGUUAAGGGCAUUUUUGUAAAUUAAGUAAAACUUGGAUAAACUUUAGAUAUAAAUAUCUAAUUUCCAUCAACUUCUUCUAACUUUCAGCAACUUCUUCUUCUUCAUUCCAUCUCUUCUCCCCUUCUCAGUUUUCUCAUCUUUCAUGAAAGCUUGCUUUGAAACCUCCAUAAAGUUUCUCAUGGUAACCCCAAAACUUAUGUUUUUAUAUACCUUGUCAUUGGAUUUUUCAUGCUCUUUCACUUCUACACUUCAAGAACCCUCAAAAGUCUUUCCUCAAUACUUUCUCUCACUAGUUGGACAUUUUAGGGAGAGAGAGAGAGAGAGAGAGAGAGAGAGAGAGAGAGAGAGAGAGAAGAAGUANNNNNNNNNNNNNNNNNNNNNNNNNNNNNNNNNNNNNNNNNNNNNNNNNNNNNNNNNNNNNNNNNNNNNNNGAGAGAGAGAGAGAGAGAGAGAGAGAGAAAGAUUGUCCAUAAUAGCUUGAGAACUCUUGAGAAAGAAUUCAACUACAAAUCUACCAAGGUGAGUAAUGAAUUAGGAUUGAUUUUAGGUUAUUGAUAAUGGCAAGUAAUUGGAGUUGUGAGUUUUUUUAUUUUUUUUAGGUUUGUUUAUUUAUUUCUAGUGGUACUAGAGUAGGGAGAAUAGAUAGCCAGCCAAAUGGUAAUUGGAAGUUAGUUAGGAAUAACCAGUAAAUUUUGAAUUAGAAAAUAGCUUUUGGAGUAACAUUUAUGUAAAUUGAGUUGGUUGUGAUAUUAUUGUUGUGAUAGGUUCCAACGAGGCCCCACAUCUUCACUCGGAGCAUUAGUCGAAGUUGGAGUCUAUCCAAAAGCAGUAACAAAAACAAGUGAGUGAACUUGCAUUAAAAUGUUCUGGGUACAUGUAUAUAUUUUUGAAUGAUCACUUGAAAUAUUUUAGUUGAUUUUUCUUCAAAAUGCACAUGGGAACAAGCUCUUGAUGAAAUGUUUUUUUUAUGUUGUGUUGUGAAAUGUGACUGUGAUGAAUCCAUGUACUCAUUUAUUAUGUUGAUAAAAACUUAUAUGUGUUGUGCGUUGAGAGGUGAUAUUGUGUAAUAAAUAUAGCCGUGCAUGUGCGCGACGUGGGGGAGCACAUGCCAGUGAUGACGAGUGCAGGAGUGUGGAUGAUGAUAAUGCCUGUGCGGGAUGUGGGGGAUGCACAUGAUGACUCCGGCUAUGUGUAGUGUGGGAGUGCACAUGAGCUGGGUGAGGCGGUGAUGGUGUAUAUGCUUAUAUAUAUAUUUACUAAAUAGAGAGGUUUGGAAUCAAUAUGUGAUUGCAUUUACUGUUGAAACUCUAUUAUUGUCAAAUGUGUUUAAGUUGAUUUUCGUUGCAACAGGAUUGGAUUUAUAUAGCAGUGAAAAUUUCCCCUAACAUCAGCUAGCUAGAUUCUCACUACAACAAAAAUCAAUCUCGCUGCAGUGAGAAAGUCUUAGGUUGGGGGAGGGUGUGCACUGGCUCUGUUUUCGCUGUAGCGAGAAACUCUCAGGUGGUUCAAAAUUUUGGUUCGAAUUUUGCUACAGCGAGAAUGCCUUUCUGCUGUAGCGAGAAACCCUCUGUUUUGCUUGUCUUGCGUGGACAUUUGCUAAAAUUUUCAUUAUUUUCAACUUCAUGGUUUAUCAUGGAUUUUAAAUGUUAAGGAAUUAAAUAAUCAAAGGAUGAAUUAAGAGGCUUUACAAGAAAGUAAACUAAAUUGCAUUGUUUGUAACUAAAGUGCAUCAUGUUUUCAAAAUUUCUUCGUAUCAUUGCUUGUUCCCUUUCUUAUGUUCACUCACUCUUUUAAACUUCAUGUUUGCAUAUUCGGAGUCAAUUGGGACCUAGAAUAAGGCGUCUGCUUGUAUUCACCCUUUGAUAGGUAUCUUGGCAUUUAGUAGCCGUACCCUCGUCCAAGUCACUCCAUUGGUCGUCGAGAGUCUGUUGCAUGUGCACAUAUACACUUGAUGUAAAUCUCUAAAAUUUAUGCUAUAAACAAUAAUUGUAUAAUUUGAAUUUGAUGAUGCCAUUAUGAGAUGGCAAAUGUACAACCAUAUUUUAGAUUAUACAAAUGUAAAUUCUUGGUUGUCAUAGUAUGUUAUUACAGUACUUAUAGUGGAAAAUUACAAAUCAUGGCUUUAGGAAUGUUUAAAGAAAGUAUGAACUUGAUUACAUAGAAAGGCUUGCUUGGGCUUAGUGGGCUGUGCCCAUUGGGCCCAUGCGUCGGUCAUGGACUAGAAAUUAGACUAUGACAUCAACCCUUGAUUAUUUAUGUCAAGCCCAGCUCUACAAUAUAUUUAUUAUGCCAUUCCUACAUAAGAAUGCAUGUUUGUUUACUUGGGUACCUCGAAAAUCGUUAAAGGACGGUAAUGUACCAAAUGGUACAAUUAAGUUGAAUUAAGCCUCCAAUUAGUCCAAAUAGAGAUUUUAAGAUGAAAUUGAGAAUUUUAAAACCCUAGAAUGACUUAAAAUGGUGAUUCAGAGUUCGAGGACCGAUUUGGAGUCAAAUUGGUAUUUUCAUGACUUAAGGGUAAAAUGGUCAUUUUGCUACCCGAGGUUAAGAUGUGAGUGUUGGAUGAAAUUUUUUAUUAAGAUUGAUCAUUUGGAGUAUAAUUUGAGCUUGAGAAGUGAAGAAUUUUAAUUUUGGCAUUUUUUUGAGGAUAAGGGCAAAAUAGUCAUUUUGCCACCUCAAGGGCAAAAUUGUAAUUUUACACCACCCAACACUUGUCCAACACAUGAAUUUCACCCAUUAUUGUCAUGGAUAAUUGAAGGAUUUUAUGUGGUGGAGAAUGAAAGCUUAAUAGUUAAGAAUUUAAAAAUGGACCAAUGGUAAGGUGACAAGUGUCAAGCUUUUAUUUCUUUAUUAUUUUCCUUAUAAAUUAGCACAAAACCAGCCCAUUUCUCUUCAUUAUGGUCAGCCUCACCAAGGAGAAGUAAGAAAAAGGAAGAACAAAACCCUAGGUGGAAAAAUUCAAGGGAAAAGUGUGAAAAUUCAAGGAAAUAAGUGAAAAAGGUAAGAUUUUUUCAAUUAAGCUUGAGAUCUCUCUUUCUUAAGCAUUUUUUCUUAUUUUCUAUGGUUGAAUCACAUGAAAUCAUGAUGAAUCCUUUGCUGGCCGAACACUUAGAGGGAGGUUUUGAUGCUUGAUUUGGUUAGAUUUUGAGAUAUUUUAGUGUUUUUAGUUAGUUAGUGAUGUGUAGCAUGAAAAGCCAACAAGAAAAAUUCACUUCCUCCCAUCACCCAUCAUUGGCCGAAUUCUCCAUGUGGAAUAUUGAUGAUGAUUUUGAUUUUAUUUCAAGUGAUUUGGUUAGGAAUUAGUGAUUUAUGGUGUGAGAAUUAAGCUUGAAAAAUUAUAUUGUUAGUGAACCCUCCAUGGUCCAAUUUUCCAAGAGAAAUGUGUGGAUGAUUUUCCCAUAUUUCAAGUUAUUUAAUUUGUGUUUGAUGAUUUGGAGUAUUGGGAGAAAACUGGAAUUAUGUGGAGUUGAAUUGGACAUAUUGGCCAAUUAAUCGGGUGAUAGAUUGAAUUAGGCCAAUACCAUUUUAUUUAGGUACAUAAUUGAAUUUAUAUUGAACACCGUAUUUAGAUAGUUACCCGAGUAUUUCACAUCCCAUUCCAUGCAUUAGUAUAAAGCCUGAAUUAGUUUUACAACGGUUUAGCACAAAUGUAGUAAAUGGCCUAUUGUGCAUUAUGUCUAGGUGGUGAGCUUUCUGGAAAAAGUAAAGAGAUAGUACCCGAGGAUCAAGAAUCGGAGUUGUCACGACCCGAAACUCCCAUUGAGCCCGUGACAACCGUCGCGACGUCCCGAUAGACAUUUAUUACCCGAAAUGUCAAUCGAAACCUCGCAAGGCUUAACAUCAGUUUUUCUCACUUCCCCUGUGAGUAUUAGUCACUAGAAUUAUGUUUUGAGAGAUUAUAAACUAUUUUCAAAUCAAAACAAUAGAAAAACAAUUUUUUUUCUCACAGGGGCAUUUUGGUCAGUUUUCCUCAAAAAUCUCGAAAUCUGCUAAAAAUGUAGUAUGCGAGUACAAAACACAUAAUUCAUAAUCAAAAAUAAGUUUAAACAUCUAAAACCUUCAUUUAAAAUGAAAUUAUGAUUAUUAGAAUAAAAUAAAAAUAUUGACUAAAAUAUUCAAUUUUCUCAUAAAUUAAUAUUUUUAGAACACUGCAUAAAUAGUUUUUACAGCAUAAAAGCAAAAUAAAUUCAUAUAUAUUGUAAUACAGUAAGCCAGAGUAUUUAAUUUAAUUUACAGUAACAAGUGAGCCCACGAAUGACCAAAAGUAUUAAAAGCAGUAAACCUACAAUUUUUGAGGAUGCAAGUCCAACUGUAGCCCUCAACAAAGUGAGCUAUCUACCGACUAUCUUAAGCCUGAAAGGGGUGGAAAGGAGGGUGGUGAGAUUAUAUAAUCCCAGUGAGUAAACAAAUACCAUCUAAAAUAUCUAAAGCCGGGUAAAUAGAGACAGAUAAAAUAGUUUAAUAUACUGAAAUUCAUCACCUUUCAACUUGUUUCAACCAAAUAAAAUCAAUUCAUAUAAAUCGAGUAAUCAACAUGGUUUAUGAAUUUCUUAAAACUUUGGCUCGUGCCAAAAUCAUUUUUAUACCCAGUUAUCAGGGAUGCCUUGAUCGAGGGCUAUCCCAACCGAGUCCGCCAAGGCUAGUAAAAAGUUAUGUACGAAUAAAUCAUGUUUUUAUUUUGAAAACAUAGCCGUUCCUUGGCGUUGGCCGAGUUCCCCUCACAUGGUGGUUUGGCAUGAAGUGAACUCUAAAGUUUGACCUCGGGAGUUACCCUACGCGCCUCUCCAAUCGAGGUACAUAUAUAUGACCAAGUUCCCUGCCCCUCUAAUAGGUUGGUCCAUAGAACCAGCCCACUGCAGCAAUCUAAACCCACCAUACAAUAAAAAUUCAACAGCAUGACAUGGCUAUUUUUAUCAUUAUCCAGCCUAUCAAGGCAAACAACAGUUUAUACAUUUCAACACAUAUACUAAUUCAACCAUUCAUGCCAAUAUUGUCAUAAGCCAUUCAAUUCAAACCGUGAUUUAUAACACACCAAUUAGUCUCCAAUUACUCCAUUUUCAAAAUCAUCUUUCAAUUUCAAGAUAAUUUUAUAAAAUCAUUUCAUUAAAUCACAUUUGGUUUAUAAAAUCAAAAAAUUAAUCAUUUAAUUCAAUUUCCAUAAAAUUCACAAAAUCGAAUAAAACAUAUUUUAGAUGAUUAAGACGAUAGUAAGGUUACUCACUAUAUCGGGAGUCGAAUUUCAAGUACUCAGAUUUUUGAUUCCUCGGGUACUAUCUCUUUACUUUUUCCAGAAUACUCACCACCUAGAUAUAAUGCACAAUAAGCCAUUUACUACAUUGUGCUAACUUGUUAUAAAACCAAUUCAGGCUUUAUACUAAUGUAUGAAAUGGGAUGUGAAAUGCUCGGGUAACUAUCUAAAUACGGUGUUCAAUAUAAAUUCAGUUAUGUACCUAAAUAAAACGGUAUUGGCCUAAUUCGAUCUAUCUCUCGAUUAAUUCGCCAAUAUGUCCAAUUUAACUCCAAAUAAUUCCUUUUUUCUCCCAAUACUCCAAAUCAUCAAACACAAGUCAAAUAGCAUAAAAUCUAGCAAAAUCAUCUUCACAUUUUCUCUUGGAAAAUUCAGCCAUGGUGGGUGCAUCAAUACUAUGAUUUUUCCAACUUGAUUCUCACACCUUAAAUCAUCAUUUCCUAACCAAUUCACUUGAAAUAAAAUCAAAAUCAUCAUCCACACUCUACAUGGAAAAUUCGGCCAAUGAUGGGUGAUGGGAGAAAAUGAAUUUUUCUUGCUUGAUUUUCAUGCUACACAUUACUAACUAACUAAAAACACUAAAAUAUCUUAAAAUCUAACCAAAUCAAUCAUCAAAUCUUCUCUCUCUAAAUUCGGUCAGCCAUGCAUCCUUCAUGAUAUAUUGUGAUACAACCAUGGAAAAUGUAAAAUAAUGCAUGGGAAAUGUCAAACCCGGUACUCUCCUCGAGCCCGUGACAACCGCCGCGAUGUCCCAAUAGACAUUCAUCGCUCGAAAUGCAGAUCGGAACCUCGCAAGGCUUUAAUAUUAGUUUUCUCACCUCCACUGUGAUCAAUAGUUGUAAUAUAACAUGUUUUGAGAGGUUAUAAACUAUUUCCAAAUCAAAACAAUAGAAAAAUAAUUCUUUUGUCUCACAGGGGCAUUUUGGUCAUUUUUCCUCACAAAUCUCGAAACCAGUUAAAAAUGUGGUAUACGAGUGGAAAACACAUAUUUCAUAAUCAAAAAUAAAUUUAGAUGUCUAAAACAUUCAUUUAAAAUGAAACUAUAUCGAUUUGAAUAUAAUAAAAAUAUUCAAUAAAAUAUUCUAUUUUCUUAUAAAACAAUAUUUAUAGAGUUAUCGGUAAAUAAUUUUUGUAGCGUAAAAGCUAAAUAAGUUCAUACAUACUGUAAUACAGAUAACCAAAGUAUAAAAUUUAAUUUACAGUGACACGUGGGCUCACAAAUGACUAAAAGUAUCAAAAGAAAUGAACCUACAGUUUUUGGAUGUGGCAAGUCCAACUGUAGUCCUCAACGAUAUCAGUUAUCUACAAUCUAUUCUGAGCCUGAAAUGGGUGGAAAGGAGGGUGGUGAGAUUAUAUAAUCUUAGUGACUAAACAAAUACCAUCUAAAAUAUCUAAAGCUGAGUAAAUGGAGACAGAUAAAAUAGUUUAACAUACUGUAAUUCAUCACCUUUCAACAAGUUUUAACCAAAUAAAAUCAAUUCAUAUAAAUCGAGUAAUUAACAUGGCUUAUGAAUUUCUUAAAAGAUUUGGCUCGUGCCAAAAUCAUUCUCAUACUCAAUUAUCAGGGAUACCUUGGCCGCGGGCUAUCCCAAACCGAGUCCUCCAAGGCUAUUAAAAAGUUAUGUACUCAUAAAUCAUGUUUUUAUUUUGAAAAUAUAGCCGUUCCUUGGAGUUAGCUGAGUUCGCCCUCACGUGGUGGUUUGGUGUGAAGUGAACUCUAAAAGUUAUACCUCGAGAGUUACCCUACUCGCCUCUCUAACCGAGGUAAAAUAUAUCAGGAUUUCGUGCCCCUCUAAUAGGCUAGUCCACAGAACCCUGCCCAUUGCAGCAAGCUUAACCCACCAUACAAUAAAAUUUGAUAUAGCAUGACAUGGCAAUUAUUUUAUUUUACAGCCUCUCAAGGCAAAUCAACAGUUCAUACAUUUGCAACACAUUUAUCAAGUCAACCAUUCAUGCCAAUAUUGCCAUAAGCCAAUCAAUUAGAACCAUAAAUUUACAACACAUCAAGUGGUCUCCAAUUACUCUAUUUUCAAAGCCAUCAUUUAAUUUCAAGACAAUUUAUAAAAUCAUUUCAUUUAAACACAUUUUAUUUAUAAAACAUAAAGAUUUACUAUUUAAACUCAUUUUCUAAAAAUCACAAAAUCAGAUAAAAAUCACUCUAGAUAAUUAAGACGAUAGUAAGGUUACUCACUGUUUUGGGAGUCGAAUUUCGAGUUCUUCGAUUCUCGAUCCUCGAGUACUAUCUCUUUACUUUUGCUAGAAUGCUCACCACCUAGACGUAAUGCACAAUAAGCCAUUUACUACAUUUGUGCUAAAUUGUUAUAAAACCAAUUCAGGCUCUAUACUAAUGCAUGAAAUGGGAUGUGAAAUACUCGGGUAACUAUCUAAAUACGGUGUUCAAUAUAAAUUCACUUGUGUACCUAAAUAAAUCGGUAUUGGCCUAAUUCGAUCUAUCACCCGAUUAAUUGGCCAAUACGUCCAAUUUAACUCUAAUUAACUCCAUUUUUCUUCCAAUUCUUAAUUCACCAAACACAAGUCAAAUAGCCUAAAAUUUGGCAAAUCCAUCUUCACGUUUCUUCAUAGAAUUUUCGGUCAAUAAUGGUGCAUCAACACCGUGAUUUUUCCUACUACUUUUCCACACCAUAAUUCAUCAUUUUCUAACCAAUUCUCUUAAAAUAAAAAUCAAAUUCAUCCUCACUCAAUACAAGGUAGGUUCAGCCAUUGAUGGGUGAUGGGGAAAAUGAAUUCUUUUCUUGUUGUUUUGCUUCUAGACAUGGUAAACUAACUAAAAACACUAACAUAACUUGAAAUCAAAUCAAUCCAACAUUAUUCUCUCUCCAUAUCCAUUUGGCUAGCCAUGAAUUCACCAUGAAAACAUGUAAUUUAACCAUGGAAAAUAAGGAGAAAUGAUUAAGGAAAAUAGAUUUCAAGUUUAAAUUGAGAAAUCCUACCUUUUUCACUUGUUUUCCUUGAUUUUCCACACUUUUUCUCUUGAAAUUCUCCACCUAAGGUUUGUUCUUUCUUUUCAUUCCUUUGUUCUUCCUUUGGCCGGCCAUAUGAAUGAGAAAUGGGCUGAUUUUGUACUAAUUUAUAAGGAAAAUAAUGAAUGGAUGAGAUUUUGACACAUAUCACCAUUCCACUAGUCCAUGUGUCAUACUUAGCCAUUAAGCAAUCUCUCUCCACCACUUAAAUUUUUUCAAUUAUCCAUGAUAAUAUUGGGUAAAAUCCAUGUGCUGGACAAGUGUUGGGUGGUGUAAAAUUACGAUUUUACCCUUGGGCUGCAAAAUGACUAUUUUGCCCCUAUGCUAGGAAAAAUGCCGGCAUUAAAAUUUUUUACUUCUCAAACUCAAAUUAUGUCUAAAUAGUCAAUCUUAGUCAAAAAAUUUCAUCCAACACUCACAUCUUAAUCUCGGGUGGCAAAAUGACCAUUUCGCCCCUAGGUCAUGAAAAUUCUAAUUUGACUCCAAAUCUGUCCUCGAACUCCGAAUCACCAUUUUAAGUCAUUCUGGGGUUUUAAAAUUCUCAAUUUCAUCUUAAAAUCUCUAUUUGGACUAGUUCGAGGCUUAAUUCAACUUAAUUGUACCAUUUGGUACAUUACCGUCCUUUAUCGAUUUUCAAGGUACCCAAGUAAGCAAACAUGCAUUCUUCUGUAUGAAGGGCAUAAUAAACAUAUUGUAGAGCUGGGCUUGACAGGAAAGGUAGAUCACAAGUCAAAAUCAAGAAAUUUUACCUUUGAUUGCUUAAUUACUUGAAUUUUCACAUUUUUCCCUUGAAUUUUUCCACCUAGGGUUUGUGUUCUUCUUUUCUUCCUUUGUUCUUGCUAUGGCCAGUCAUAAUGAAGAGAAAUGGGCUGAUUUUGUACUAAUUUAUAAGGAAAAUAAUGAAUGGAUGAGAUUUUGACACAUGUCACCAUUCCAUUGGUCCAUGUGUCAUACUUAGCCAUUAAGCAAUCUCUCUCCACCACUUAAAUUUCCUCAAUUAUCCAUGAUAAUAUUGGGUAAAAUUCAUGUGCUGGACGAGUGUUGGGUGGUGUAAAAUUAUAAUUUUACCCCUAGGGUGGCAAAAUGACUAUUUUACCCCUAUGCUUGAAAAACACCAAAAUUAAAAUUCUUCACUUCUCAAACUCAAAUUAUACUCCAAUAAGUCAAAUGUGAUCAAAAUCUUUCAAAAAAAUUCUAAUUUCUCCUCGAGUGGCAAAAUUACCAUUUUACCCCUAGAUAGUGAAAUUUUUGAUUUGACUCCAAAUCGGUCUUUGAACUCCGAAACACCAUUUUAAGUCAUUCUAAAGUUUUAAAAUUCUCAAUUUAAUUUUAAAAUCUCUAUUCAGACUAGUUCGAGGCUUAAUUCAACUUAAUUGUACCAGUUGGUACAAUACCGUCCUUUAACGAUUUUCAAGGUACCCAAGUAAGCAAAUAUGCAUUCUUAUGUAAGAAUGACAUAAUAAACAUAUUGUAGAGUCGGGCUUGACAGGAGUACUCAGAAUUUGACUCCCAAAAUAGUGAGUAACCUUAUCAUCAUCUUGAUUAUCUAAAGUGAAUUUUAAUUCGUUUUUGUGAUUUUAUGGAAAAUGUGAUUAAAUGAAAUGAUUUUAUAAAAUUGUCUUGAAAUUGAAUGAUGAUUUUGAAAAUAGAGUAAUUGGAGACUACUUGCUGUAUUGUAAAUUAUGUUUUGAAUUGAAUGGCUUAUGAUAAUGUGGGCAUGAAUGGCUGGAUGAGUAUUUGUGUUGAAAAUGUAUAAACUAUUGUUUGCCUUGAUAGGCUAUAUAAUGAUAAAAUUACCAUGUCAUGCUGUUGAAUUUUUAUUGUAUGGUUGGUUUAGCUUGCUACAGUGGACAGGUUUUGUGGACCAGCCUUUUUGAGGGGCAUAGAAUCUCGUUAUAUUCUUAACUCGAUUGGAGAGGCAUGUAGGGUAACUCCCGAGGUACAACUUUAGAGUUCACUUCACGUCAAACCACCACGUGAGGGUGAACUCAGCAAAUGGCAAGGAACGACUAUGUUUUCAAAAUCAAAAACAUGAUUUAUGCAUACAUGACUUUUUAACAACCUUGGCGAACUCGAUUGGGAUAGCCCUAGGCCAAGGUAUCCUUGAUAAUUGAGUAUGAGAAUGAUUUUGUCACGAGCCAAGCUUUUCAGGAAAUCAUAAGCCUUGUUGUUUAUUUUGGGUGAAAUGAAUCUAUUUUAUCUUAUUAAAAUGAGUUCGAAAUGCUGUGAAUCAUUUUUAUGCUAAUCUAUUUUAUCUGUCUCCAUUUACUCAGCUUUAGAUAUUUUAGAUGGUAUCUGUUUACUCACUGGGAUUAUAUAAUCUCACCACCCUCAUUUUCACCCAUUUCAGGCUCAGGAUAGUUUGUAGAUAGCUGAUAUAGUCGAAGGCUACAGUUGGCUUUACUUCCUCAAAAACUGUAGGUUCAAAACCUUCAUCACUUUUAGUCGUUUGGGGGCUCAUGUGUCAUUGUAAAUUUAAUUACAUACCUUGACUAUCUGUGUUACUGUAUGUAUGAAUUUAUUUUGCUUUUACGCUACAAAAAUUAUUUACGGAUAUCUCUAUAAAAAUUGUUUUAUAAGAAAAUGGAAUAUUUUACUCAAUAUUUUUAUUUUAUUCUAAUUGCUAUCAUUUCACUUUUAAUGAAUGUUUUAGACAUCUAAACUUAUUUUUGAUUAUGAAAUAUGUGUUUUGCACUCGCAUACUACAUUAUUAGCUAGUUUUGAAAUUUUCAAGAAAAAAUGACCAAAAUACCCCCGAGAGACGAAAAUUAUUUUUUUAUUGUUUUGGUUUGGAAAUAGCUUAUAAUCUUUUAAAAUAUGAUAUUAGCAACUGUUGCUCUCAAGGGAGGUGAGAAAACUGAUAUUAAAGCCUUACAAGGUUUCGGUUGGCAUUCAGGGUAAUGAAUGUCUAUUGGGACAUCACGGCGGUUGUCACGGGAUCGAGGAGAGUAUCAGGUUGUGACAAUUAAAUCCCUUAAAGUGAAGGAUUUAUAAUCCACAAUGGAGUUGAAAAGAGUGAAAACUACAGCAAAUGUCCAAGCAAAACAGAGGGUAUCUCGCUGCAGUGGAAAGGGAUUCUAUAGCAUAUAGUACAAUCACAUUUUUAUUUUCAUAACCUGUCUAUAGCAUAUAUAUAUAUAUACAUGUACACCACCGCCGCCUUACUCAGCUUAUGUGCACUCCCUACACACACAAGGCAAUAUCAUUAUGUUCACUCCCUACACGCACAUUUCAAUAUCAUCAUGUGCACUCCCUACACGCACAUUUCAAUAUCUUCACGCGCACUCUAGCCCACAUCAUUACCGGCAUGUGCACUCCCACAUCGCACACCACCGGCACCGUCAUGUGCACUCCCACACCGCAUGUAAUACCCUGCAUCCUCGUUGGACACAAAUAAGACCUUAUUAAUCAAACGAAUGAUCGUUUGAUGCGAAUUGGCGUGCUAAAGAGCGAUAAAGGAUGAAAGGAACGUUCAAGAAUAAAAUGCUUCGCGCGUGCAAAAUUAACAAUUAAAUAAUAAUAUUUUCGUUGGGGAAGAAUUAGUAAGCUAAAGGAUGAUUUGGAAGUAAACCGAGAUGUAAUGAUGCGUUUCGAGACCAAAGAAGGCAAGUGAAAAAUUUUGAAAUAAAAUAAUAUUAAAAUAUUAAUAUUUAUAUGUUGCCGAAAUUAGUCAUGAAAAAUGAAAUAUGACUAAUUCAAGUGGGGGAGAAGAAGUAAAGAAGAAUUUUGAAGGAAAACGACGAUAAUUGUGACAACAUGAUUUUAUUCAAUCGAGCUAACGCGGGUAAGUAAAUAUUUAAAUAUUAUGGUGACACCGCGUUGAAAUGCGAUCUCGAUAUUUUGAUUAUACACAUGUAAGAAAAGGAAGAUAGAAGGAAAUUAGAAUUUUUAAACGUAGCGGCAUGAUCAAAUUUUAAGAUACGAAAAUUGAAAGAUUGAGUACCAAAUAAAAUGAAGUUAAGGCAUAAUAUGUAAAUUUUAUUGUUUUGAAGAAAUAAAAAUACAAUGAAAAUAAAAUGGAUGAUAAAAUAAUGAAGAAAAGAUGUUGAAAAGUCAGACAAUAUUUUUAUAUGUACAUGAGUGACCACAUGAGUCAAGAAUGGAAAUGAUGUGGUUUGGAUGGGAAUGAAGAAAAGUCAAAGUUAUUUGGAAUAAUAUUAAAUUGGAACCAAGUGAGGUGAAUGGCCGGCCAUACAAAAGAAAAGAAGAAAGACAAAAAAGUAAAGAAAACAAAAGAGAAGAGUGUAGAAAGGAAGGUGGGGGCCAGCCAUGUGAGGAAAGAAAAAGGAAGAGAGAAAAGUUAAGUCGAUUAGUGAAGAAGAAAAAGAGAAGAAAAAUAAAGGAAGAAAAAAAUGAAGAGAAAAAGGGAGAGAAAGAACCGUGAGAGAGGAAGAGCAAAGAGAAUGGUUUUGCUGCACUUUGAGGAAGGAAAAAGAGAGUUUUUGCUGCAAUUUUGGAGGAAGAAGAAAUCUGAAAAUUUUGAGGUAAGAAAGUUGAUUGUUUUGAGGUUAAUUGCUAGAAUUUUUAAGGUUUUUAUGGCUGAUUUUGGAUGUAGAAAAUUGGAGCUGUUUGUUGCCAAUGUGUGCAAAAAAAUUGUGCAGAAAAAUUGGAGCUGGUUGUUGCCAAUUUGUGCAAAAAAAUUGUGCAGAAAAAUUGGAGCUGGUUGUUGCCAAUUUGUGUAGAAAAAUUAUGCAGAAAAAUUGGAGCUGUUUGCUGCCAAUUUGUGCAGAAAAUUGGACAGCUUGUGCUGCCAAAAUUGAGGAGUUUUGUUGCUGGAAAUUGAGCUGGAAAUCUGUCGAUUUUAGAGCAGAAAAUGGUAGCAAAAAGGGUGAGAAAAUGAGGUUUUUGGUGACCGAUUUUGAGAGGAAAGGAAGAGAGGAAGCCACGGUGAUGAAGAGAUGAAGCCAUGGUGGUGAAGAGAGGAAGCCACCGUGGUGAAGGGAAGCCACAGGCUGGAAAGAAAAAAGAAGAAGAAACAUGGAAGAGGAAAAAAGAAAGAAAAAGAAAAAAGAAAAGAAAAGAAAUAGAAAAUAAAUGGGCAUGACCUAAUGGAAAAUAAGUGGGCAUGACCGAAUAGAAAAUAAGUGGGCAUGGCCCAAUAAGAAAUAAAAAUAAAUGGGCUUAGCCCAAAUAGGAAAAAUAGAGAAGCCCAUGGAGAGGGCCCAAAGGUCAUAAAGAAAUGAAAAAGGCCCAAUGGUAAGUUAAUUUUAUAUUUUAAGAUUUAUGGGUAGUUUAAUAUUGUGCAUAUUUUGGAUGAAAAAUAUGCAAGUUGCUUAAGGAAUUUUUAAUUAAGUUGCUACCCAUACAAAUGUGUAAUUAAGUAUACUGAGUUUAAAUUGUUGCUAGGAAAGUUUAUUGUGGAGGCGUGCCGAACGAAGUAUGUGACCGACAAAUAGGAAUAAUUAUAUACGCGUACAAAUCAAUAGUGAAGUAAUAUCCCACUAUUAUGAGGUGAGUAGGGGGUGUCAAUUUUAAAAAUUCCUUAUAUAUAUACAUGUAUGUACAUUUUACAUGAAGUGCAAAAUUUAUGGAAAGCAUGCGUUGAUAGAAUUUUAAGGAAUUGUGAGUGUAAGUUAUUUUUAGAAAUAAUUUGGAAUAUAAACAAGCUUUUCGAAAAGAUUUAUAUCAAAGGAAAUUGUGCCUUAUUGUUUGUGUGGUGUGCAUUCAUGAAAUUUAUUACAUAUUCACCAUGCUAUUUUGAUACAAAAUAUCAUGCAAAUGUUUACAAUGAACAUUUUAUGAAAAGAGAGUUUUAACGUGAUGUGGGGAUCGAUAUUUUGAGAAAGAUUUAAAAUAUCCCCUUGAAGAUCAAAUUUGAAUUCUUUUAAAAGGUGAUUUCAUUUUUAACCAAGAAUUCAAGAGUAAUUGGAGAUUACUACUUGUUGUGUUAUAAAGUGUAUCUCGAUUCGAAUGGCUUAUGAUAAUGUGGGCAUGAAUGGCUGGAUUGGUAUUUGUAUUGAAAGUGUAUAAACUGUUAUUUGCCUUGAUAGGCUGGAUUGUGAUAUAAUUGCCAUGUCAUGCGGUUGAGAUUUUAUUGUAUGGUGGGUUAGCUUGCUGUAGUGGGCGAGUUCUGUGGACCAGCCUAUUAGAGGGGCACGAAAUCCGGAUAUAUAUAUGUACCUCGAUCAGAGAGGCACGUAGGGUAUCUCCUGAGGUAUGGAUAGAGUUCAUGUCACGCAGAACCACCUCGUGAUGAUGAACUCCGCUAACGCCAAGGAACGGCUGUGUUUUCAAAAUAAAAAUAUGAUUUAUGCGUACAUUACUUUUUAAUAGCCUUGGCGGAUUCGGUUGGGAUAGCCCCAGGACAAGGUAUCCUUGAUAACCGAGUAUGAGAAUGAUUUUGGCACAAGCCAAGUUUUUAAGAAAGUCAUAAGCCAUGUUGUUUAUUUUUGACAAAAAUGUAAUGGUUUUAUAUGAGUUGAAAUAAGUUUUAAUAUUAUGAAUUAUAUUUCUCUGCAUGGUGAAAAAAAAAAAGAAUUAAACGGUUUUUCACAACUCCCCUAUUUGUUUAUUCGUGAAAUGAAUAUGUAAUUCCUCCCAUAUAGGGUGAGUUAUGAUUUGUGCAUGAUUUUAAAUAUUGUAUGGUUUCGCGGGAGCUUGCUAAAUUUUAUUGAUUUGAUUCGAAAAUGAUUAUUAAUAUAUUUUGAUGCAAAAAAUUUUAUUAUCUCGAUUAUUUAUACUUUAUAAGAAAUUCUUGAUUUUUAUAUAAGGCACAAAUCCCCAUUUGAAACGAAUUGCUUUUAUAAUCCUGCAUUUUUAUAUUCAACUUAUAUGCCGUUUACUUGUUUCCCAUCUACGCCUUACUCGCUAAGUCGAUGAUUAUCAUUGAGUCUAUGAGACUCACACCCCUUUAUUUCCCUUUUUGCAGAUAGGAAUCAGCCUAGCGUGUAGUCAGUGAUGCGUUUGGUCCACCGUGAAUAGGUAAAGGCAUCUCCUAGCAUUUUAUUCUGAGUCACUCUGCUGUUAGGGGUCAAGUCGUAGCAUUUCAUUUCUUAAGUUGUAAAUGAAUUCUAAAUUUUUAUAUAAGCAUUAAUUUGGAGAUUAUAGAUUUAAUGCAUAUACUUACGAAUAAAAGGAAAAAGUUUGUAUUGAUUUUUAUAUUUAUGGUUCAAUUUAGUAUAUGAAAGUAUCAAUAUUAUAUGGUGAUUGAAUGUAGUGGAUUAACGAGCAAAUUCUAGAUAGGCUUGUUCGAGACUUGGCGGGUCUUUUUCGAAAGUCUUGGACCCCGACAGCGACCGGGGAGAGGUUGUUGCACCGCAUGUGCACAAAUAUAGCUAUUAUACAACAUUAUCACUCAAAGCAUAACAUACUUAUCUACAUAAUAUAGGAACACAUGAUUUCAUUAUAUCACAUAUUUUACCACAUAAAAACAUUUCAUCAAGGGCUUGUUCCCAUGAACAUUUUAAAGAAAAGUCUGAUAAAACAUUUCAGGUGAUUUAAUUAAACACAUAUGCAUUUAUUCCAAAAUAUUUUAAUGCAAGUUCACUCACAGUGUCUUUGUUGAUGCUUUGAUCGACUCUAACUGCGUCUAAUUCUCCGAAUGGAGAUGUGGAGUCUCGUUGGAACCUAUCACACACAAUAGUAUCACACCAACUCAAUUUACAUAGAUACUAUUCCAAAAGUUAUUUCCUAAAUCAAGUUUUACUAGUUAUUCCUAACUAGCUUCCAAUUACCAUUUAACUAGUCAUUGUUCACACUAGACAUGAUUAAAUAACCUUCAACAAUAAAUUAGCCCACAAACCUAAUUAUUGGCCAUCAUUAACAACUCAAAAAUCAAAUCUAACUCAUUACUCACCUUAGUGGUUUUAUAGUGGAGUUCUUUUCAAGAGUUCUUCAAGCUAUCAAGGAAAGUCUAUCUCUCUCUCUCUCAAAAUGUUCAACUAGUGAGAGAAAGUGCAAAGGAAAAGCGUUUGAGGGUUCUUGAGGUGUAAAAGUGAAAGAGUAUGAAAAAGUGUACAAAAGCAUGAAAAUCAGAGUUAAUUCGAGAAAGUUAUAGAGGCUUUAAGGUUUCUUUUCCAUGGAAGGGGGAAAACGUUUAGUGAGGGGAAAGGAUGGGAAGAAGAAGAAGCUGCUGGAAGUGAGGAGAAGUUGCUGGAAGAAAUGAGAUAUUUAUCCUAAAGUCAAUCAAAGUUUCACGAAAUUUACAAAAAUGCCCUUUUUUUGUUCUUCUGGUGCAGUGCCUUCACUUUGACAAAGCUUUUGACCACUUUCCGAUCAGAAAUGGGAAAAGUGGUAAACAUCAAAGUUGUAGCUAUCCCUCUUAGAUUUCUAAUGGUUUAAAAAUCAUGUCAUUUUAACUUCUGUAGUAUGAGAUAUGCCUGAAAAAUCGAAACAUAUGCAAAUAGAGCAACAGUUAAUUAUGCACCUUUCUUCACCAAUUGAAAUUAUUUUUGAUCCUACUCCUAUAAAAACAUAAAAUAAUUAUAAAUAACAUAAAACUAGCAUCAUUAACUCAAAAUAAACACUUAAACAUAAAUUAAACUAAACUAAUAAAAUAAAUAAAAAUACUUAAAUUCAAUCCUAAAUUUAGUCCAACUUAGGCUAAUUAGGUAUUUAAUCUCCCAUUAAAUUUGAGAAUUUGAUGCACUCAACAAUCUACCUCUAGUCACGCAUCUAUGGAGGUUGGGGUUUCAUAAUUAGGCACCAUAUUAAAGUACGAGGUAUUAUACAUAAUUCUUUAUAUAGCUGAUGAUCAAACUUUAAGAAUGAAUAUGGAGAUCAAUAAUAGUAGACAUUGCACCAUGCUUUUAUCAUCUUCAGGAUAUAUGAUAAGGGAAUGAAUUACACUGAAAGAUUGAUCAUUAAAAGGUUAAGUCAAACCAUCUUGACUCUUCUAACAUUUAGGUGGCCAUGAUGGAUUGCUAGAUCCCAAUCUUGGUCUAUGAACUCUAGGUAGUUGACUUGAUUAAUGAUAAAUUUAAAGUAGUUUAAAUUUAUCUAAUUCUAAGUUUAACUUAAAAAUUAUAUGUUGAGUUCAUUGCCAACAUGUUAGAAGCCUAAUGGGUCACACACCUAAAAUGAAUGUUGAAAAUAAAAUGGGAGAGGUGAUUAAGGUGGACUUAAUCAAAUUAUAAGUUAUGAGCUUCUCAAGCACUUGAUUAAAAUUAUUUAAUUAAGUUGUGCCUAAUUAAUUAAAUUGUUUAAUUAAGUCAUUGGGCCUAAUUAAUUAAAUUGUUUAAUUAAGUCAUUGGGCCUAGUUGAUUAAAAUUUUUUAAUUAAGUCAUUGGGCCUAGUUGAUUAAAAUUGUUUAAUUAAAUUGUUGGGCUUAAUUAAUUAUAUUGUGUAAUUAAGUUAUUGGGCCUAAUUGAUUAAAUUAAACAAUUAAGUUAACUGGGCUUUUUAAGGACUUAAUUAAAUUGUUUAAUCAAAUUAUUGGAUUAAUUGGCAAUUGCAAGAUAGUUUUGUAAUUAGGGUUUAAAAUUAUCCAAGGUAUAAAUACCUUGCUAAAGCCACCAAACAAAUUGAGAGAGAAUGGCUGAAAAAUUAAGAGAACGGCAAAUUAGAAAUUACUUUUGCCUUGCCACUCCUUGUGUGAAGAAAAAAUAGUUUUUCAUUCACUUGAUUUCUUUUGUGUGUUCAGCCCUGAAAUUUUGUGUAGAUUAUGAGUUUAUGAAACUCAUCUAUGCUAGCACAUUGUUAAGGCAUAGCACUCCCAAUCCUUAAAGAAGGAUUUUCUAAUUCAUUAAUGUGGAUCACCAUUAGAGGCUACAAAAUGAUUCCUUAGAUAGCUUUGGUUUGCAAUAACCAGGCUGAGGUGGUUGAGGUUUUUGAAGGCUGAUUUGGUGGUUUAACAAAGGAUUCAUCAACCUUUGUUAUUUAGGUAAGCUUGAUAUGAUCUUAUAUAUAUAUAUAUUUAUAUAUAUAUAUAUUAUUUUUAAUUUAAUUCUGUACUCAAUGUGGCAUGAAAGAGAUCCUAGGAGGGUGAGGCAUAAUUUAAUUUUUAAAAUUUUUUUUCGUUGCAUUUUAUUUGUAUUAGAUGCAUUAUCAACCCUCACCAAACAACCACUCUUACGCGCCGGCCACCAAGGAAUGGUGAUUCAUUUAGCCCAUUAUUUAGGGGAGAACAGUCUAGUGGAGCAUCUAAUCUGGGCCCCAUGCAAAGGGGUGUUUUGUGUAAUUAUUGUGGCAAGGCACAUGGUGGACCAUGCCAUAAGGUAACUGGUUUGUGUUUUGGAUGUGUUCAAUUUGGAUGAGAGAUUGUCUGAUGUAGAGGUAGUUGGCUGAGGGUGAUCAUGGAUAUGGAUGGCAAGUGUCCAAUAUGUUAGGAAUUUUUGAGAAUAUGGUGCCCUAGAAAGCAAGUAUAUUCUCAUGCUUAAAUUCAUUAAAUUUAUUUGUUAUGAAAGUACAUUUUGAUAAUAAGACAAAGAGUUUGGUUUAGUAAGCAUUCAUUAUCUAGUUAUUAAGAUACCAAGAUUUUAUUGAGAUAUUAAAAUACAUUUGUAUGAAGAGUCAUACAUAGGAGACGUGUAUUUUAAUUGAAUUUAAAAAUUGUUCAUGCUAUAUAAUAAAGCUGGUUACUUUAUUAUGUUAAGGCUGUAGUGUCUAGAUUACUUCUAACGAAAUGAAUGUGAUUCAUUUCAAGGGAAUGAUGAGUCUCAAAUCAUCAAAAUGGUUGGCUUCGAGUAAUGACACUAUAACAUGAACUAGAAUCAUGCGAGAAUCAAAUUUAAGUUUUACUGUUACCUAAAUCUUGAUCUCACACUUAUGCAUUUGCUUAUAGUAGAACCGAAAUCUUGAUGGAAGGUGGACUCGUGUGUAAUCUCCUUAUAAUCUUUGAUUUACCAUGAGCAUGAUCAUCAUAAAGGGUUGAUCUAGACUCUGUAUUUUGGUAUUAUAAUCGAGAUGAACAUUUGGGAACAUAUAUCCAAAUAUUGGAGUUCAUAGCAUUAACAUCACUUCUAGUGAUUUCAAGAAGAUUGGUGAUUAAUCUGAGCCUAGUUGAUUAAUGAAUUAGCUACUCAUCACAUUUGGAUACUCAAAAGAUUAGAUCUAUAGUAUUAAAUCAUUGAUUGGAUGAAAUUUGAGACUAGGGGACAAAAUUGACAUAAAGGGUAAAAUGGUAAUUUCACCUUUUGUUAUUGGAUGGCUAUAAUGGUUCACAAUAUAAGGUUUGCAAUUGGACAACUAAUAAUUAAUAUCAUGUAUUGAAUUGUUUCUUGUAAUUAUAGUUAAUCCAAGAGUGCAAUCAUGAAUCUAUGGUGGAGUGAUUUCAUGGUUUUUUUUUUUCUAUGGUGGAGUGAUUUCAUGGUUAAUAAGCUUGAAUUUUUUUUAAUGAGAUUAAGAAUAAUUCUAAGUUUAUUGGAGCUUGGAAUAUCUAUGUCCAAAUAGAUUCCCCACUUAGCUUCGUAGAAUUCAACUUGUUUAAGUUGGAAUGCAUGUUUUAAUUUGUUUAAUUAAAUUGUGUACAAAAAUGACCUUAAACAUGUUUGGUCUUAAUUUAGACAAGAGUUAUCUUAAAUUAAGAUAAUUUUAAGAGGAUUCUUGCAAAAUGAAUCUAGACAUCCAUGUUGAUAAAAGAAGAUUCCAUGUUUGUCUAUUACUCUUUUAUUUAUUAUUAAUUCUUUUUAAAUAAAGAUGGAUAAUAAUAAAAUAAGAGUUAUUUGAAUAAGGAGUUUUAUUUUAUCAAGAACUCUAAAUGAUAAUUAAGAAUUAAAUUAUUUAUUCUUUAAUUUUUAUUUUGAUAAUUUUGGAGUAUGUUUGAUGCUUCCAUAACUCUAAAUGGAUGGUCAAAAUUGAUUCAAAGGUGUUUCAUUUUGAUUAAACCUUUGAAGCAAGAGUUUUAAUAAAAAGUGAAGAGAUUGGAAGAAAAAUUGAGAACGUACUUUUUCUUGAAAAAAGUUUCAGCCGUCACUUCUCUUCUCUUCUCCUCCUCCAAGCUUUUCCAAAGAAAAGAGAACAAAAUCGGUUGCCAUCUUGUAGUCUUGCAUUCCACACCUUGUCCACUCAAGGUUCAAGUUGAAACUAUUCUUGAAGAAUAAGUGGUAAACUUGUUUGGUCGAGAAAUCAUUCAUUGGUGUGGUGGUGUUCAAAAAUAAGAAUCUCAAAAUAAAGGUAUGGUUUUUCUUACUUAAUAGAUUCUUAUUUUAUUUCUUUGGAUGUGAUUAUGCUACUUGCAAUAAUAAUAAUAAUGUGUGUUUCCGCUUGUGUAAUUGAAUUUCUUGCUUCCUUUAUAAAAUAAAAUUUUGAAAUCCAUGCUUUAAACAAUCACAUUAAUUCACAAAGAUCCGACUCCAACACAAUACUCUUCCUAGAAUUGCACCAACUAGGAGAAAUGUUAGAGGUGAAAAAUGCAAAAGGGUAGCCUCAUCGUCUCGAGGUAGAUUGUUGUUGAUUUUUUACUCAUGCAAGUGCACGUAUCGCAAAGAUAAUAUAGAGAUGAAUAGAAUGUCGAUCCCACAGAGAAUUGAAUUAAUACUUAUUGUUAAUUACUAAAAUUAACACACCUUAAUUUUAUCUAAAAAAUUAAAUUUAAAAAAGAAAAAUUUAAAUUAAUAAACUAAAAACUAAAACUAAUAUAUUAGCAAAUUUUACUUCUAGUGAUUAACAGACCUAAGAUUAUGAUAUCCCUCAAUAUUUCAUCUGAAUAUUGUCUCUCUCUCUCUUAACUCAAUUUAAUGGAUUAAGUUGCUAACCUAGAGUCCUAAAUUAUUUACAAGUCUCUGUCAAGUUUCUCAUAAAAAUACCUCUCCUAAUUAAUUUACUAUAUGUCUAUGCAAAUUAUAUUGAAGAAGGAUUCAUUAAGUUUGUGCUUUAAUUUUGGCUACGUAUGGCUUUUAGGUGUAUGUCUACCCUAUAUGCAAAUCAAACCACCAUAUCAACUAAGUGUAUUCGAUCAUACGCUACUCUAUUCAAGGUCUACCUAAUUCUCCUUCGUCAAGGUUUAACUUAGGUUUCCAAUUCAAUCUAAUUGGUGGCCAGUAAACUAAAAGCAUUAAGAACAGAAUAAAAUAAACAACUUAAAUCUAUCAAACAUAAAUAAAAAAGAGAUAAAUAAUUCAUAGUACGUGUCGAGUUCAAUCAUAAUCUUAGAUUAACAAUUUAGUUCCCCAUCAAGUCACACAUCAUCAUUGAAUAAAGUUUAAACAUUAAGAACAAAACUAAGAAACAUAAGAAAAUAUCAAAAGGAAAAAACCAAGGAUUGUAUUCUUGAUUCCAAAUCUUCUUGAAGCCUUCAAAUUCUUCUUUGCUUCAAUGACUUUGUGGCUUGACUCUUAGCUGUCAAUCUGGUGUUUUGUUCUCCUUUGAAAGGUUAUUUUUAUAGGUUUUGAAGUUAGGCCAAGUUAAGUGAAGAAAGAAGUCAAUUUCAGCUAGAAUUUCCUCACCAAACAAUGUGAGUCGCAGCCUGGCCCAAUUAAUUAAUAGAAAUCGUAAUUGCUCUAAGAAUGCUACAGUGUGUCAACUUCGACAAGAUUUUUGACUAUUUUCAGGCUGAACUGGGUAAAAUCGUAAGCAUGAAAGUUAUAUAUUUUUUUCUUAUCUUUCCAAUGUUUCAAGAAUCGCUUUAUUUGGAGCUUUGUAGAGAGAGUUAUGGUCGAAAUACCAAAACAUAUACAGUGGAAGUCUGCACCUUGAAAUUGCUCUAUUUCUUCGAUUAAAAUUCUUCUUUCAUGAAACACUUACAAAAGCACAAAUAAAUCAAUAACAACUUCUCAUAACCACAUUAACACCAAAUUAAGUAUAAAAUUAACUAAGAUUAGUUUGACUCACCUAAAAUAACUAAUUUAAAAUAAUUAAAUAAAAUCUACUUAUUUUUAUGCAUUACUACAAGAACUAAGCUCAAUUACUAUCAAAAUUAAGCUCAAAUAACUUUAUAUCAUAGAGUUAGUAUAGAUCGACACAAUUGGGUAAUGAUGGAGGAGGCCAAGUGAAGGUGUUUGCUUUGAUACCGCAAGAUGCUUAGACUUCUAAUGUAGUGGUCAUAGGUACACUUUCUAUUUGUGGUACCAAAGCUUUAGUUUUGUUUGAUCCCGGAUCAAUACAUUCCUUUGUGUCCCCACAUUUUGUGCCAAAAUUAGAUCAAUUUUGUAGCAAUAUGGAGGAACCCUUAAUUGUAACUAUUCCUUUAGAGGAGACAUUUGCGGCAAAAUAUGUAUAUAAAUCUUUUGUGGUUCGUAUAAAGGACAAGGAUAUGUUAGCAGACUAAGUGCUGUUACUAACUUUGGAUUUUGAUGUGAUUUUGGGAAUGGAUUGGUUCGCAUCCUGUUUUGUUAAGGUAGAUUACUACUGUAAGCUUGUGAAGUUUAAGUUUUCAGGGGAAUCCUCAUUUGUGAUAUAUGAGCAUGGUAGCCCAAUGGCUGUGAGAGUUGUGUCGGACAUAGCUGCUAGGCCAAUGCAGAGGCAAGAAGGCCAAGGGUACUUGGCGAUGACAAGAAACACUUCGACAGAUGACGAGAGUGUGGAUUGUGUAUCGGCAGUGGGUUAGUAUUUGGAUUACUUCUUGAGAGGGAAAUAAAAUUUCGUAUUGAUUUUAUUCUGGAUACACAACCAAUUUCAAUACCUUUUUAUCGAAUGGCACCAACUGAAUUAAGAGAGCUUAAAAAGCAAUUGGAGGAUUUAUUGAAUAAGGGUUUUAUUCAUGCCAAUGUUUCUCUUUAGGGAGCUUCAAUGCUAAUCAUAAAGAAAAAAGGAUGGUAUCCUUUGGUUAUGCAUUGACUACCGAUAAUUGAAUAAGGUUACUAUGAAGAAUAUGAAUCCAUUCUCGAGGAUUAACGAUUUGUUUGAUCAAUUGUAAGGUGUCGUGUGCUUCUCUAAGAUUGAUUUACGCUCGGGGUAUCACCAAUUAAGAAUAUGAGAGUGUGAUGUACCCAAGAUAGGGUUCUGCACAUGUUAUGGACAUUAUGAUUUUCUAGUGAUGUCGUUUUGACUCACCAAUGCACCAAUAGCAUUUAUGGACUUAAUGAAUAAGGUUUUCUGAGCAUAUUUGGACAAAUUUGUGGUCGUAUUUAUAGACGACAUAUUGGUGUAUUCUAAGAGCUCGGAGGAACAUGCCCAACAUUUGAGAAUUGUACUUUAGACCUUGAGAAAGCAUAGGUUAUAUGCUAAAUUUUCAAAGUGUGAGUUUUGGUUGAAUAAAGUCAGUUUCUUUGGGCACAUUAUGUUUGAACAAGGGGUGCAAGUGGCUCCUAACAAAGUGGAAACUGUGGAGAAUUGGCCACGGCCAAAGUCUGCAACAAAAGUUAGAAGUUUGCUAGGUUUAAUCGGAUAUUAUAGACAUUUCAUACAAGAUUUUUGUAAGAUUGUAUUCCCUGUGACAAGACUGACACAGAAAGGAGUUAAGUUUGAAUGGUCUGAUGCAUGUGAGGCUAGUUUUUAGAGGCUCAAAGCCUAUCUCAUGUUCGCACUUUAGCUAAGUGUGCCAUGUGGAUCUAGAGGCUAUACCAUGUAUUGUGAUGCAUCAUAAAUUGGAUUGGGUUGUGUGUUUAUGCAACAUGGGAAAGUUAUGGCAUAGACUUUUCGAUAGUUGAAGAGGCAUGAAUAGAACUAUCCUACGUAUGACCUAGAAAUGGCUGCAAUUGUGUUUGCUUUGAAAAUUUCGCACCAUUAUCGCUAUGGUAUUACUUAAGAAAUAUAUACUGAUCAUAAGAGUUUGAAGUAUAUAUUUUAGCAAAGAGAUUUAAAUUUGAGACAACGUAGAUGGUUGGAAUUAUUGAAAGAUUAUGACUGCACCAUACUUUACCAUCCUAGCAAGGCCAAUGUGGUGGCAAAUGCCUUGAGCCGAAAAUCGAUGGGGAGUUUGGCACACAAGACAAUAGUGAAAAGACCUUUGGUGUAGAGCUUGUAUGAUUUGGGCAAUAUGGGUUUACAUUUUGAGGUUAAUGAUUUUAAUGCAUUGUUGGCACAUUUUAGAGAUAGACUAGUGAUACCAAAUCGAAUUAAAGUUGCCUAAGAUCAAGAUGAAUAUAUGGUGAAAAUAUUUAGAGAUAUGAGCAAAGAUAGAGGUCAAGACUUUGUGUCCGAAACAUAUGGUUUAAUGAGAUAUUGAUCAUGAAUUUAUGUGCCGAAUACGGAUAAUUUAAGAAAUGAGAUUUUGUAAGCGACGCAUGUGGCAACCUAUGCAAUACACUCUAGAGCCACCAUCAUGAUCUGAAGUCUGAGUAUUGGUGGCCAAGAUUAAAAAGAGACGUGGUGGAAUAUGUCUCUAAGUGUUUGACAUGUCAGCAAGUAAAGGCUGAGCACCAGAAGCCUUUCGAACUGUUACAGCCAUUACUAAUUCUCGAGUGGAAAUGGGAACAUGUAGCAAUGUAUUUUGUGACGGGUUUACCACAAGCUAGAGGUGGCUAUGAUGCCAUUUGGGUAAUAAUUGAUUAGCUCAUUAAGUAGGCUCAAUUGUUUCUGGUCAAAAUUAAGUAUGAAGCAGCUCAGUGUACCCAAAUCUGUAUUGAUGAGAUUGUAAGACUACAUGGUGUUCCAGUAACGAUAGUGUCCGAUUGAGUAUCAUAGUCCGGUAGCUAGUUUUGGAGGAAAUUUCAAGAGGCCUUAGGCACAAGAUUGGAUUUUAGAAUGGCCUUCCACCCACAAAUGGAUGGCCAAUACGAGUGCACCAUUCACACACUAGUGGAUAUGUUGAGAGCAAUUGUGCUCGAUGUGAGACCUUGAUUUUUUUAUAGACUCGUAGCUAGAAGUAGACGCGAUAACACGAACUAGGGAUAAUUUUGUCAUUUUCCUUAAUGAGCUUUUAGAAGUGGGUUUUCUAAUAUUAUUAAGGCCUAAGUAGGCCUAAGGAAUAAAUGAAUGAUGAAAAUGAGGAUAAAAUGACGAAGGAAAUAAAAAUAAUGAUGAUUUUUAAGGUAGGGGCAAAAUGGUCAUUUUUCAUCUCGAGUCAAGAUUUUUAAGUUUUCGUGAACUCAAGUAUUUCUAGACUAUUAUGGACUUUAUCUCAAAGCUAACUUGUUAAGGGCAUUUUCGUAAUUUAAGUGAAGUUUGGAUAAGCUUUAGCUAUAAAUAUCAUUUUUCAGUAGCUUCUUCUCAUUUUUCAAUAGCUUCUUCUUCUUCUCCCUCCCAUCUCACAUUUCUUUCAUCCUCUAUGAAAGCUUCUCUCAAAGCUUCCAUCACCCUCUCAAACUAACCAUAAAUUUCAUGCUUUUACACACCCUGUUAUAGGGUUUUUCAUGCUCUUUCACUCUCUCACCUUAAAACCCUUAAAAAGUCUUACUCCCAUACUUUCUCUCACUAGCUAGGUGUUUUAGAGAGAGAAAAAGAGAGAGAGCUUCUAUAAUAGCUUGAAAAUUUGUGGAAAGGAAUUUACUUACAAAGCUACCAAGGUGAGUAAUGAAGUAGAGUUGAUUUUUAAGUGUUGAGAAUGGCUAGUGAUUAGAUUUGUGAGUGUUUUAUAGUUGAGGUUGUUUAUUCAUUUUAGAGUGAUUAGGAUAGUGAAAAUAGAUGGCCACUUAAUGGCAAUUGGAAGCUAGUUAGGAGAUAGCUUUAAAAAUUUAUAGUUAUGUGAAUUGAGUUAAUUGUGAUGUUAUUGUGAUAAUAGGUUCCAACGAAACCCCACUGCCCCAUUUGGACCAUUAAAGGAAGUUAGAGUUGGGUAAAGAUUUAACAAGUACCGAUGAGUGAACUUGCAUUUCAAAAUGUUUUGGGAAGUGCCUACAUGUUUAAAUAAAUCAUUUGAAAGUUUCAUUUGUUUUUGCUUUAAAUAUAUACCUAGGGAAAAAAUAUACUUGGGGAACAAGCCCUUGAUGAAAUGUUUCUAUCUUGUGAAAUGUGCAAUAUGAAUAGUUCAUGCGUUAUCACAUUAUAUUUGUCAAGCCCUACUCUAUUAUAUACUUGUCAUGUCAUUCAUGUGCUUGAUAGAAUGUUUGCAUAAGUGAAUGUAUUGAAAAAUCGUUAAAAGUCGGUAUUGUACCUAGUGGUACAAUUAAGUUGAUUAAAGCCUUGAACUAGGUCAAAUAAAGAUUUUACAAUGUAUUUGAGAGUUAUUGAAUCUUAGAAUGUCUUAAUAUGGUGAUUCGGAGUUCAAGGAUUGAUUUGGAGUCCAAUCGAGAAUUUUCAUAACGUAAGGGCAAAAUGGUCAUUUUACCACCCAAGGGCAAAAUUGGAAUGUUGGAUGAGAUUUUUGACCAAGUUUGACUAUUUGGAGCAUAAUUUGAAAUUGUGGAGUGAAAAAUUUCAAUUUUGACAUUUUUUCGACAUUUUUCGAGUAUAAGGGCAAAACGGUCAUUUCACGUGUCCAUGAGGACGUAAUUGAAAUUUUACACCACCAUGACACUUGUCAAGCCCAUGAAUUUCACAUGUUAUCACUUUAUACUUUGGAUAAUUAUGGGAUUACAUGUGGUGGUGAGAAAUUGCUUAAUGGUUAAGUUUUUAAUCAUGGACCAAUCAAGUGGUGACAUGUGUCAAGCUUUAAUAUUUUUAUGAUUUUCCUUUAUAAACUGACUUAAGCUUCUCCCAUUUCACUCUUAUGGCUGGCCAAGCAAGGGAACAAAGAGAAAAAGAGAAGAACAAACCCUAGGAAGGAAAAAUUCAAGAGUAAUUGUUGGAUUUCAAGGAAUCAAACAAGUAAAGGUAAGAUUUUUUAAUUUUAGCUUGUGAUCUACCUUUCCCAUGCAUUCUUUUUCAUUCUCCAUGGCUGAAAUUCAAGUUUUCAAGAGGGAACCUUGCUGGCCAAAUCUAGAGAGAGAAGUUUUGGUGAUGAAUUUUGCUAGAUUUCAUAAUAACCUAGUGUUUUUAGUCAUUUUGUGAUGUUUGGAAGGAAAAACAAGCAAGAAAAUCCAUGUUCUUCAACCACCCACAUUUGGCCAAAUUUUCUAUAGGGCAUGUUGAUGAUGGAUUUGGUUGUAAUUCCUGUUAUUAGCUAGGAAUUGAUGAAUUAUGAUGUUGGAUAUAGAAAUCGGAAUGAAUUUUGGUUACGGUGAAUUAAGUCACAAUUAAGCUCAUUGAGGUACUUUGGUGUAUUUGGAAUAUUGGAAGUGUAAUGAAGAUAUUUAGAGUUGAAUUGGAUGUUUUGGCUAAUUAAACAAGGUAUAGUAUGAGUUAGGUCGAAUGCCAAUUCAGUCUGAUCAUAAUUGAACCCACGUAGAACACCGUCUUUAAGUGAUUAUUCGGACAAUUCUCAUUCAAUGUCAUGCAUUCAUAUAGAGCCUGAAAUAAUUUUAUAAUAGUUUGGCACAAAUAUAUUGAAUUACAUGUCGUUUAUUAUGUAUAGGGGGUAAGCCCUUUGAUAAGGGUAAAGAUAUUGUGCUUGAGGACCAAGAAUAAGAGUACUCCAAACUCCUGCUAUUAUGAGUAAUCAGACUUUCAUCUUAACUAUCUAAAGUAGUUUAUACUCGUUUUUAUAUUUUAAAGAAAAUUGAAUUUAAAUUGCAAACUAUUAUGUUUUAUAAUUGAAGUGUUGAUUAAACGAACUGAGAUUUAUAACUUGUUUUGAAAUUGAAUAUUGGUUUUGGAAAUUGAGUAAGUGGAGACUGUAUACUUGUGUUAUAUAUAUGUUUUGAUAUAUGGUUUGAAUUGAUGGCUUAUGACAAUGUGAUGGCAAGCAUGGCUGGAUUUGUGUUUGUGUGGAAUAUAUGAACUGUUUUGCUUUGCCUUGACAGGCUGGUAAUAUUAUAUUAGCCAUGUCAUGUUGUCGAAAAUUUUAUUGAAUUGGUGGGUUAUUUGAUUAGCUUACUGCAGUGGGUGGGUUUCCGUGGACUAGCCUAUGAGAGGGGCACGGUAAACCUCGUUAUAUUUUACCUUAGUAUGAGAGGCGAGAAGGGUAUCUCCUAAGGUAAAGUUAGAGUUCACCUUACGCCGAACCACCAUGUGAGGGUGAAACUCAGCCAACGCCAAGGAAUGGCUGUGCUUUUAAAUGUAAAAAAAAAAUGAGUUUUAUACUCAUAUGUUAUUUUAACAGCUUUGGCGGACUCGAUUGGAUGUCUCGGGGCAAGGUGUCACAGAGUCCAAGUUUUUAGCACGAGCCAAAUUUUAAGAGAAUCAUAAGCCUUGUUGAUUUUGAUGAAAUGAAAUUGAUUUACAUGGGUUGAAAUGAGAUUUGAUGUUAUGAAUCAUAUUAUGAUGAGAUGUUUUAAAUUGUCUCCAUUUACUCAGCUUUAGAUGUUAUAGAUGAAAUUUGCUUACUCAUUGGGUUUAUAAAAACUCACCCCUCCUUUUCACCCAUUUCAGGCUUAGGGCAGUUUGUAGACCGCUGAUUAUGUCGAGGGUUUGCUUUUGGGUUUUCACCCUUAGAAAUCGCAGGUCUAUAGUCUUGUACAUAUAUGUUUAUUUUGGGGGCCCACAUGUCAUUGUAGAAUAUUUUGUAUACCUAGCUGCGUGUGCCACUGUAUGUAUGAAUUUAUUUUGCUUUUAUGCUACAAAAAUUAUUUACACAGAGUUCUAUAAAUAUUGUUUUAUAAGAAAAUGGAAUAUUUUAUUUAAUAUUUUUAUUUAAUUUGAAUAGCUAUAAUUUCACUUUAAAUUGAUGAAUUAGACAACGAAACUUAUUUUUAGAUACGAACUGUAUAUUUUUCAUUUAUAUAUUAUAUUUUUAACAGGAUUCAAAAUUUUUGGGUAAAAUGACCAAAAUACCCCUGUGCAGUAGAAAUUACUUUUUGAUCGUUUUGAUUUGAAAAUAAUCUAUAUUCUUUCAAAACAUGAUAUUUAGUAACUGUUGCUCACAAGAGAGACAUAAAAUUGAUGCAAGAGCCUUGCGAGGUUUUGGUUGACGUUCUGGGUAAUGAAUGUCUAUGGAGACAUCGUGGCGGUUGUCACGGGCUCGAUGGGAAUUUCGGGUCGUGACAAUAUUGAUAUGAAUAUUAUUCAUUGGAUGUUUCUUUUGUGUGAUAAUGAUGACCCAGCUAUGUGUGUGUGGGAGUGCACAUGAGCUGAUGAUGACCCGGCUAUGUGCGAGUAGGGAGUGCACAUGAUGAUGAUAUUGCAUUGUGCAUGUAGGGAGUGCACAUGAGCUGAGUGUGGCGGAUGGUAUGCAUGAUGAUGUAUGUAUAUAUAUAUAUAUAUAUAUGUUAUAUAAAGUUUAUGAAAAUAUUUGUGAUUGUGUUGUAUGCUGGCAUUGUUAAUUGCUCCCAAAUUGCUUUUCAUUUCAGCAAGAAAAUGGCUUUUUGAUGUAACAAGACCCCUUCAACUAAAUUGCUCUGUUCUCGCUGCAGCGAGAUUCAUUUUCCUUGCAGCAAGAAACUCUCGGGUAGGCAGCCUUAAUCAUGCUUUGAAUUUUGCUGUAGCAAGGAAUUUUGUUGUAGUGAAAAUGAAUCUCGUUGCAGCGAGAAACUCUCGGGGUAGUUCCAAAAUUCUAAUGUAGUACUUUCAAUUUGAAAAAGAUUUUGACCACCUUCCAAUCAAAAUUGGGAAAUGUGGUAAUCAUAAAAGUUGUAUCCCAGCCUCUUAGCUUUCUAAUGAUUCAAAAAUCAUGUCAAUUGGACUUCUGUAGUGGGAGAUAUGUUAGAAAAACCAAAACAUAUGCAAAUUGAGAAUGCCUUUUCGUUGUAUCAAGAAAACUCUUUAUUUGCUUGUCUUGCUUGGUCAUUGCUGAAAUUUUCAUUCUAUUUAACUUCAUGGUUUAUCAUGGAUCUUUGUAAAAUUAAGGGAUUAAACAUUCAAGGUUUGAAAUGAGGGGUUUUAACCAAAAAUUAGACUAAAUUGCAUGGUUUUAUCGUAAGUGCAUCAUGUUUUCUAAAACAUUCCUUAUCGUUGCUUGUUCCCUUCUUAUGUUCACUCACUGAGUUUUAUACUCACUCUUUUAAACUUCAUGUUUUCAGAUUCGGAGGCAGUUGGGACCUAGAUUGAGUUGUCCACAUAUGCUCACCUUCUUGGUAGGUAGUAUGACAUCUCAGUAGCCGGUACUCACCCACAGUCACUCCGCUGACGGUCAAGAGUCUUAUGCUUGUGUAUACAUAUAAAUAAUGUAGACCACUAAGAUUCAUGUUAAAAAUCAAAUAUGUAUAUUUGAUUACUGAUGCCAUUAUAGGUUGGCAAACGAGUGACAUUAUUUUAACAUAAUACAAAUGUGAAUAUUGGGUUGCUAUAAAAUGUUACUGAAAUUUUUAUAGUUGAGAAUUACAAUAUGUGGUUUUUGAAAUGAUGGCGGGGAAUGAUGAUCGAGAUUGCAUAGAAAGGCUUGCUUGGGCUUAUUAUAUGCCUUUGGCCAAAUUUUCUUACAAUAAUAGUUAUCAAGCCACAAUUGUUAUGGCUUCUUAUGAGGCUUUAUAUGGUUGAAGGUGUAUAUCACCUAUUAAUUAGCUUGAGGUCGGAGAAAGGAAACUCUUAGGAUCGAAAAUGGUCUAGGAAGCAGAACGAGGCAUCUAUGUAAUUAGAGAAAGGCUAUUAAUGGCUUAAAGUCACCAAAAGUCCUAUGCUAACAAUAGGCAAAGGCCUUUAGAAUUUCAAGUUGGAAAUUAUGUUUUUUUCAAAGUUUCAUUGAUUAAAAGAGUCAAAAGAUUUGGGAAGAAUGAGAAAUUGAAUCAUAGAUACAUCGGGCCCUUUGAGGUAUUAAAGUGCAUUGGUACAGUUGCUUAUCAUUUGGCGUUACCACCUAAUUUGUCCGAUGUUCAUCUGAUUUUUCCAUGUAUCCAUUCUUAGGAAGUAUGUUCCUAGCCUUUCGCAUGUGAUUCAGCAUGCUGAGGUCCAGUUACAAGACAAACUUAGUUACGAGGGUAGCUUAUAGCCAUAUUUGAUUAGCAAGUAAAACGACUUUGCUCUAAAGAUAUUGUUAUGGUGAAAGUGUUGUGGCAAAGCCAUGCGGUUGAACAAGCCACAUGGGAACUCAAAGAGGAAAUGAGAUAGAAAUAUCCCCACUUAUUUGAGGUUUAACUUACAUUUUAAUGUGUGGUAUAUGAUUUGAAAUUCAUGGAUGAUUUCUUAGAAGGAGGGGAGAAUGUAACACCCUCGAUUUUUUUAAUAUUAAUUGUGCAUGAUGCUAGACUAGCUCACAGGUUGAUCUUAAGUGAAAUGUGAAUGAUUGUAGGUUGUGGAGGAGAUUUGGGAUGAGUUUAGGCUUCAAAAGAACCAAUAUUUAUGAAUUUGAACCACAAGAGUCAAUCCCAAUGCUUGGAGGAUCCAUCUUGUGAAGUAGAAAUUUAAGGGUAAAUAAUUUGUGUAGAAAAAUUUAGGGGUAAAAAUAACACUGGCCCAAGAUCGAGUACAAAACCCUUGUAGUUGAUCCUAGGGCAAGAAAUGGGGGUGAGAUUGAACAAUGUGGUCCAAGAUCAACUCUGGAGCUCCCAUAGUUGAUCUUGAGGUGCCAGAUCAGCAAAAAUUAGGCUUAAAAGCCCCAAAACUGAAAAAUCCUCUAUUUUCUUCCAUUUCUUCAUUCUCUCAUCCGAGUUCUCCAAAAUUUCACCCCACUCAAAAUCUUCACACUUUAAUGCUAAAUCUUGGAUUUGAGGAGCUAAAAGUGAGGAUUUGUAUCUCCAAAAGUGUGGAUUUUAUUUGUGAUCUCUUUCGCUAACAAUUUCAAACCCUAAGUCUCAAGGUGAUGUGUAAAGCUUAUUUAAGCUAGAUCCAUACUUGAGAAACAUUCUUAGAGGUAAGAUUUAGUGUUUUUGUUGGUUGAUUUUCAAUUUAAUCAGUUGAUAACCUAAGAUUUAAUUUUGGUCUAACUUUGAGGAAAAUUGGUCCCAUUUAGUUGACUGAAGAUUUGGGAUAAAUUGUGCAACUCGGCUUCCAAGGUAUUGGUUUAGCUCAUUAUUAAAGGGUUUGAGCUUAUAUGUGUUGAAGUUGGAUCUUAGUAGAUUGAUGUGAUUUAUAAAAGCAUGGAUUUCAAAAAUUUCUUUUAUAAAGGAAGCAAGCAAUCCAAUUACAUAAGCAGAAACACACAUCAUUCUUAUUGCAAGUAACAUAAUCGCAUCCUAAAAAAAUAAGAAUCUAUUAAGUAAAACAAAUCAUACCUUUUAUUUUGAGAUUCUUAUUUUCAGACACCACCACACCAAUGAAUGAUUUCUCAACCAAACAAGUCUACCACUUAUUCUUCAAGAAUAGUUUCAACUUGAACCUUGAGUGGACAAGGUAUGGAAUGCAAGACUACAAGAUGACAACUGAUUUUGUCUCUCUUUUCUGCAGAAAAGUUUGGAGGAGGAAAAGAAAAGUGACGGUUGAAAUUUUUUCAAGAAAAAGUACGUUCUUUUUUUUUUCUUCCAAUCUCUUCUCUUUUUAUUAAAACUCUUGCCUCAGAGGUUUAAUUAAAAUGAAGCACGUUUGAAUCAAUCUUGACCAUCCAUUUAGAGCGAUGGAAGUAUCAAACAUACUUCAUAAUUAUCAAAAUUAAAAUUAAAGAAUAAAUAAUUUAAUUCUUUAAUUAUCAUUUAGAGUUCUUGAUAAAAUAAAACUCCUUAUUGAAUAAUAACUCUUAUUUUAUUAUUAUCCAUCUUUAUUUUGAAAGAAUUAAUAAUAAAUAAAAGAAAGAUAGUCAAACAUGGGGUCUUCUUUUAUCAACAUGGAUGUCUAGAUUUGUUUUGCAAGAAUCCUCCUAACAUUAUCUUAAUUUAAGACAACUCUUGUCUUUAAUUAAGACAAAAAUAUUUUAUCUUGUCAAAAUUGAGACAAAAAUGUUUUCUUGUCUAGAUUAAGACAAAAAAUAUUUUUCUUGUCUUAAAUUAAGACAAAGAUAUUUUGUUGUCUAAAUUAAGACCAAACAUAUUUUUUUGUCUAAAUUAAGACAAACAUGUUAAAGCUUCCAUUUUUGUACACAAUUUAAUUAAUCAAAUUAAAAAAUUUCAACUUAAACAAGUUGAAUUCUACGAAGAUAAGUGGGGAAUCUAUUUGGACAUAGAUAUUCCAAGCUCUAAUAAACUUAGAAUUAUUCUUGAUCUCAUUAAAAAUAAUUCAAGCUUAUUAACCACGAAAUCACUCCACCAUAGAUUCAUGGUUGCACUAUUGGAUUAACUAUAAUUACAAGAAACAAUUAAAUACUUGAUAUUAAUUAUUAGUUUUCUAAUUACAAACCUUCUAUUGUGAACCUCAUAGCCGUCCAAUGACAAAAAGUGAAAUUAUCGUUUUACUGUUUAUGUCAAUUUUGUCCUUUAGUCUCAAUUUCAUCCAAUUAGUGGUUCAAUACUUUAGAUCUAAUCUUUGAGUAUGCACAUGUGAUGAGUAGCUAAUUCAUCAAUCCACUAGGCCCAGAUUAAUCACUAAUCUUCCUAAAAUCGCUAGAAGUGAUGUUAAUGCUAUGAACUCCAUUAUCUAGAUAUAUGUUCCCAGAUGUUCAUCUUGAUUGUAAUCCCAAAAUACGGAGUCUAGAUCAAUGCUUUAUGAUGAUCAUGCUCAUGGAAAAUUAAAGAUUCUAAGGAGAUUAAACAUGAGUCCACUAUCCAUCAAGAUUUUCAUUCUACUAUAAGCAAAUACAUAAGUGUGAAUCAAGAUUUUAAGUAAUAGUAAAACUUAAAUUUGAUUCUCACGUGAUUCCAGUUCAUGUUAUAGUGUCAUUACUCGAAGUUAACCAUUUUGAUGAUUUGAGACUCAUCAUUCCCUUGAAAUGAAUCACAUUUGUCUCGCUGGAAGUAAUGUGGACACUACAGCCUUAACACAAUAAAGUGACUAGCUUUAUUAUAUGGCUGUGAAUAAUUUUUAGAUUCAAUUAAAAUACAUGUCUUCUAUGUAUGACUUUUUCAUACAAAUGUAUUUUAAUAUCUCAAUAGAAUCAUGGUACCUUAAUAACUAGAUAAUGAAUGCUUACUAAAACAAACUCUUCGUUUUAUUAUAAAAAUGUACCUUCAUUACAAAUAAAUUUAAUGAAAUUAAGCAUGAGAAUAUACUUGCUUUCCAAGGCACCGUAUUCUCAAAAUUCCUAACAAUCUCCUACUUGCCCUAAAAGCAAGUAUGACAUAUCCUUCAUUCCAAGACCUUUUAAGUGACCAUCGAAAGUUUUUUGUGUUAGAGUCUUUGUGAAUGGAUCGGUGAGGUUCUACUCUAUUAGAAUUUUCUUCACAAGUACUUCUCAACGUUGUAUGAUCUUUUGAAUGAGAUGAUAUUUCCUUUCAAUGUGUUUUGUUGCUUUAUGAUUCUGUGGUUCUUUUGAGUUAGCCAUUGUCCACUGUUAUCACAAUAGAGUGUAAUAGAAUUAUGGUACCUUAAUAAAUAGAUAAUGAAUGCUUACUCAAACUGUAUGGGAAUAUUAAUUUAAUGUACUUUCAUUAAAAUGUUGAAUUACAUAUAAAUUUUUUAUCAAAAUAAAUCAUUGUCCACUGUCCACUCUUCGUUUGUUUAUCAAAAUGUACUUUCAUUACAUAUAAAUUUAAUGAAAUUAAGCAUGGGAAUGUACUUGCUAUCCAGAGCACCAUAUUCUCAAAAAUCCUAACAAUAUGUUGAAUUGUUAAGGAUUUAGCUAGUUUUAGAAAAGCUGGCAUUUUUGGAAAGCCAAGAUUUAAUGGAUUUCGUAAUGUUUUGAUGUGCUUAAGGGAAUAUUGAUUUAUUUGAGCAUGUUUAUGAGCUGAAAAAUGAUUGGAGGCUAAGGAUUGAAGCUUGGUUGAGGAGCACCUCCAAAUUGUCCCCAUGAGUGGGAUUUAUCAAAUGCAUGUGAUGCAUAACGCAUGGAAUAUGCGUUGCACUGGAUAUUAUGAAUGUUGGCCUAGAUGAGCAUGCUUAGGCUAGAGAAUUAUGUAUUUAUGUGUAAGAAUGUGAUUGCCUAGAUGAAUGUACCUAGGCUAAUAUAUGGUUUACAUAUAUGUUAAUAUAUAUGCAUGUUUUGUGAAUGCCAUUGGGAAGCAUGAGCCAGUAGACAUCUAGGUGAUGUAUGAUUUUGAUGGGUCCUGGAUAUGUGGUGAUUAAAUCAUUAUGAUGGUGAUACUACGAUGUGUUAUUAGAUUGCCCAUUUGUUGACAGAAUGUUGAUGCAUGAUUUGAUAUGAUAUUAUUCAUGUAUAUGCGACUAUUAGGCCAUGAUUGAAUAUAAAUUAUAUUGUUGAUGUAUACAUAGCCAGUGAGCCAUGAUUAAUAAGGUAUUUAGAACUUGAAUGAGCUUAUUGAUAGAUGAGGCUUGAUGAAUGUGAUCAUCAUCAUGUUAUGGACAUAUAGAAAUAUAAAGACAUGAUGGUCUCAGUCUCAUUGAGGAAAUGUGUUCCAUCUGAGGAAUGAGUUAUGGACGUCGAUCUAACUUGAGGAUGAGUGGAGUUUGAUAUCCAUGUGACUAUGUUAGUGCCUCAAGGAUGGUGGUAAAUAAGGGUAGUGGUUGAAAUCCUGCCUAUGAUUCUUGCUUGUUGUGUAUAAUGCCAUUCGCCCGGAGAUUACUCCGGAUGAUGAUUGUGAUGCCACUUGUGGAGAAUACUUCAGGUGAUGUCGUCUUUUGGGAUAUUGCUAUCAUGACUCAAACCCAGGGCCAUGAUCAAUGCACGAGCCCAGCAGGCGAGCCCACUAGACCCAAGCAAACCUCAAGGUUCAUAUCCAAGCAUACACAGGCCAAGGGACUCAAUAAUCAAGCAUUCAUAAUAAAUUCGAAUAAAGUACAAUAUCCCUAGCUAAAUUUCCAUACAAAUAGAAAUAGGGCCAUACAUUGGCCAUCCAAACGAGUUCAUACAUAUUAACCCUUAAUACACAACAUAACAUGGCACUCAAUGCCUACAACAUUAUCCAUAGUGGAAGGCUUUGACUAACUCAACGGAGUGACCAAAAUAAAGGACCUACUAGAUGCCGAAAUCGAUUUAUCUAUAGACGAUCUUUGCCAUGCUCCUUCAUGGUCUAUUUAUCUGCACAUGAUACACAAAUGGGUGAGUAUUAUAAUAAUUAGUGAGUGAUGCAGAUAAUCCAAAUCAAAUUAUAUGCAUAUAUACAUCAAACAUAUAAUAACUAUAUUGCACUCUCAGUAUGUCCAUAUAAUCUUUCAAUACAUUUCCAAAUAUAGAGGGAUAUAGUCAUCCCUAGGUUCACCAAAUAUGGGGUUAUGUCAUCCUCCCCAAAGUCAUCAUUAUCAUCACAUAUGGUGGGGCUUACCCUCGAAGCCAACCAAAUCAUUGAAACUAUUCUCCGCAGCACACUUUAGUUGUGAGAGCAUCAAAUGAAAGUCAUACCAUAUGUAUAUCAAGCCUCUCAUGGCUAUCUCACACCAUACACGAAUCAAAUCAACGAGUGGUCCUUUCCUAUACAUAAUCAAAUCACGCUCGGUGGUCAUCCAGUAGAGAAUCAAAUCACACACAAGGCUAAAGCUGUUGAUAAAAAAUAGAUCAUGUUCAACUCUGAAGUAGCUAGCUAAAAGUCAAAGUCAUUGAUUGGAGAAAUCUCUCGACGGUCAGCAUCAGCUGGAGUAUUCUCACAUAGGUGGCAUUACAAUCAUCAUUUGGAGUAAUCUCCCAAUGGAUGGCAUCGUACACUACAGGCGAGAAUUACAAGUGAGAUAUCAAUCACUACCCUUACUUACCAUCAUCCUUGAGGCACGAACAUAGUCAUAGGGCAUCGGACUCCACUCAUCCAUAAAUCAGAUCAACAUUCAGAAUUCAUCUUUUGGAUGGAAACACAAGUCCACAAUUAAGGCCAUCAUGCCUUUAUCAUUCACAUCUUUUGUAUCAAACCUCAAUUCACAUUUAUCGAGCUUUAAUUGUCUUAAGCUCGGUUAGAUUCUAGGUGCCUCUAAGUCUCCAAGGCCUCAUUCAAUCAAAUCGUCUCGACAUAUCAAUCACCUAGGGUAAUCCACUCUUGGGGGUUUAACAUAGCCUACAAGCCUUCUAGUCUAGGCUUACACAACAUAGGCCACCAUGUGGCUCACAUCACAGUGCAAUCACACACAAUUCAAAUAUAUACAUAUACACAUAUAUUGUUCUCUAGCCUAGGUUCAUCCAUUUAGGCUUAUGUACAAAAUCUAGUACUAGUGUAGCGCACUUAUAGUACGUUAUGCAUCACGUGCAUUUAGCUUAAAUCCCACUCAUAGUGACAGUAGAAGGCACUCCCAGCCAAACUCUAAUUCUUUGCCUCUAAUCAUCAUUUACUUGCCAAUGACUUGAUUUAGCUUUGUUUCCCCCUUCAAACACAUCAGAACAUCAAAAGAUUAAUUAUUCUUGGCUUUUGAAAAAUGCCAGCUUUUCACACAAUUAACUAAAUCUUAGCAAUCCAACUAUUGAAGCUCAAAUCCUUCAUUAAUGAGCUAAACCCAUACCUUGGAAGUCGGAUUGCAUGAGUCUUAGCUCUAAAUUCUCUAAUCCAAGCCACAGAGGGAAAAAUACCAAAUUUGGAGAAAACUCAUAUUCGAAGUUAUUAACUGAUUAAAUUGAAAAAUAAUCAGUAAAAACAUUAAAUCAUACCUCCAAAAUGGUUUCCCAAGCUCCAAAUAGCUUCAAAUGGCUUAGAAAUUCAAUUUGGAGGGUUAGAGUUUUAGACGUUUUAAAGAGAGAAAGAGUUAAAAGAAAGAGUUGAGCGAAAUGGCUCAAAAUCCCUUGUUAUUUUUUCCUUUCUUUUUUUUGUAUCAAUAUAUUUUGGCAAUGUACUGAUACAUUUGCCCUAAUUUCGAAUGAAUGUAUCAAUACAUUGCGAAAAUGUGUCGAUACUUUUCCCCUUAGGUGCUUUUUGUUUCAAAUGUAUCGAUAAAUUUGGACAAUGCAUCGAUGUUCAUCUUUAGCCAAAUCUAUCAAUACAUUAUCAAAUGUAUUGACAAAAUAUUUAUCACAACCCAAAACUCCCAUCGAGCCCGUGACAACCAUCGCUAUGUCCCGAUAGACAUUCAUUACUCGGAAUGCCAAUCGAAACCUCGUAAGGCUUAACACCAGUUUUCUCGCUUCCUUUGUGAGUAUUAGUUACUAAAAUCAUGUUUUAAAGUGAUAUGAACCAAUUUCAAUUCAAAAACAGUCAAAGAGAAAUUUCAACUACAUAGGGGUAUUUUGGUCAUUUUUCUCAAAAAUUUUGAAACUAGCUAAAAUGUAGUAUAUGAGAGAAAUUUACACAUUUCAUAACCAAAAAUAAGUUUAGAUAUCUAAAACAUUCAUUUAAAGUGAAAUGAUAGCGAUUAGAAUAAAAUAAAAAUAUUGAAUAAAAUAUUCUAUUUUCUUAUAAAACAAUUUUUAUAGAGAUAUCCGUAAAUAAUUUUUGUAGCGUAAAAGCAAAAUAAAUUUGUACAUACAGUAACACAGAUAGUCAAGGUAUGUAAUUAAAUUUACAAUGACACGUGGGUCCCUUAAAUGACAAAAGUGAACGAAGGCUAUGAACCUACAAUUUUUGAGGAAGUAAAGCCAACUGUAGCCUUUGACGAUAUCAGCUAUCUACAAAUUAUCCUGAGCUUGAAAUGGGUGGAAAAGAGGGUGGUGAGAUUAUAUAAUCCCAGUGAGUAAACAAAUACCAUCUAAAAUAUCUAAAGCUGAGUAAAUGGAGACAGAUAAAAUAGAUUGGCAUAAAAAUGAUUCAUAGCAUUUCGAACUCAUUUUAAUAAGAUAAAAUAGAUUCAUUUCACCCAAAUAAACAACGAGGCUUAUGAUUUCCUGAAAAGCUUGGCUCGUGCCAAAAUCAUUCUCAUACUCAGUUAUCAGGGAUACCUUGGCCUGGGGCUAUCCCAACCGAGUCCGCCAAGGCUGUUAAAAAGUCAUAUACACAUAAAUCAUGUUUUUAUUUUGAAAACAUAGCCGUUCCUUGGCGUUGGCUGAGUUCACCCUCAUGUGGUGGUUUGGCGUGAAGUGAACACUAAAGUUUUACCUCAGGAGUUACCCUACGCGCCUCUCCGAUCGAGGUAAGAUUAUACCCAGAUUUCGUGCCCCUCUAAUAGGCUAGUCCACAGAACCCGCCCACUAUAGUAAGCUAAUCGAUCCUACCAAAUCAAUAAAAUUUCAGCAGCAUAACAUGGCUAAUAUAAAAUUACCAGCCUGUCCAGGCAAAGCAAAACAGUUCAUAUAAUUUCAACACAAUUUCCAAUUCAGCCAUUCAUGCCAAUAUCAUAAGCCAUUCAAUUCAAACCAUGAUUUAUAGCACAACAAAUAGUCUCCAAUUACUCUAUUUUCCAAGCCAUCAUUCAAUUUCAAGAUGAUUUUAUAAAAUCAUUUUGUUUAAUCACAUUUUUCUUAUAAAACAUAAAGAUUUACCAUUUAAACUCAUUUUUCUAUAAAAUCACAAAAACGAAUAAAAACUACUUUAGAUAAUUAAGACGAUAAUAAGGUUACUCACUAUAAUGGAAAUUGAGUUCCGAGUACUUCGAUUUUUGAUCCUCGGGUACUAUUUCUUUACUUUUGCCAGAAAGUUCACCACCUAGACAUAAUGCACAAUCAAACAAUUUACCACAUUGGUGCUAAACCGUUAUAAAACUAUAUGGAUGCAUGAAAUGGAAUGCAAAUUGUUCAGAUUAUUGUCUAAACACGGUGUUAUACACAAAUUCAAUUGUGUACUUAAAUAAAACGGUAUUGGCUUAAUUUAAUCUAUGACUCGAUUAAUUGGCCAAUAUGUCCAAUUCAACUCCAAUUAACUCCAUUUUUCUUCCAAUUCUCCAAACCAUCAAACACAAGUCAAAUAGCAUAAAAUUUAGCACAAUCAUCUUCACAUUUUCUCUUGGGAAUUUCGGCCAUGGUGGGUGCAUCAACACUAUGAUUUUUUCUACUUGAUUUUCUCACCGUAAUUCAUCAUUUCCUAACCAAUUCACUUGAAAUAAAAUCAAAUCCACCAUACACACUCUACAUGGAAGAUUUGGCCAAUGAUGGGUGAUGGGAGGAAUUGAAUUUUUCUUGUUGGCUUUUCAUGCUACACAUCACUAACUAACUAAAAACAUUAAAAUACAUUGAAAUCUAACCAAAUCAAGCAUCAAAACCUCCCUCUAAGUGUUUGGCCAGCAAGGGAUUCAUCAUGAUUCCAUGUGACUCAACCAUGGAAAAUAAGAAAAUAUGCUUAAGAAAGAGAGAUCUCAAGCUUAAAUUGAAAAAUCUUACUUUUUUUCACUUGUUUCCUUGAAUUUUCACACUUUUCCCUUGAAUUUUUCCACCUAGGGUUUUGUUCUUCCUUUUUCUUGCUUCUCCUUGGUGAGGCCGACCAUAAUGAAGAGAAAUGGGCUGGUUUUGUGCUAAUUUAUAAGGAAAAUAAUAAAGAAAUAAAAGCUUGACACUAGUCACCUUACCAUUGGUCCAUUUUUAAAUUCUUAACUAUUAAGCUUUCUUUCUCCACCACAUAAAAUAUUUCAAUUAUCCACAUUAUAAAAUGUUAAUGGAUGAAAUCCAUGGGCAUGACAAGUGUUGGGUGGUGUAAAAUUACAAUUUUGCCCUUGGGCGAUAAAAUGACUAUUUUGCCCCUUAUGCUCGAAAAAAUGCCGAAAUUAAAAUUUUUCACCUCUCAAACUCAAAUUAUGUUCUAAAUGGUCAAUCUUGGUCAAAAACGUCUUCCAACAUUCCAAUUUUAACCUCAAGGGCAAAAUGACUAUUUUACCCUUAGGUCAUGAAAAUUCCAUUUUGACUCCAAAUCAAUUCUCGAACUCCGAAUCACCAUAUUAUAUCAUUUUGGGAAUUUAAAAUUCUCAAUUUCAUCUUAAAAUCUCUAUUUGGUCUAGUUCGAGGCUUAAUUCAACUUAAUUGUACCAUUUGGUACAUUGCCGUCCUUUAACGAUUUUCGAGGUACCCAAGUAAGCAAACAUGCAUUCUUAUGUAGGAAUGGCGUAAUAAACAUAUUGUAGAGCCGGGCUUGACAAUAUUCUUCCCUGGGCCUUUGUUGUUCAUCUUACCAAGAAUCUAUUGAUACAUUAGAGUAUGUAUCGAUAUUGUCUCCUUUGUAGGCAGUUCCAAGCUUACAAAACUUCCAAAAAUUUAGAUUUAACCCCUUAAAAUCAUUCCUUGUUAAUAUCGCACCUCAAAUUGAUCAUUUAACUUAAUCCUAUACACAUAUAAAUCCAUGAACACAACAUCAAACUUAGAUCAAAACCUCAAAUUAUGGGAUUCAUCACAAAUUUCCUCAAAUUUGCUUAAGUGCCAAUAUGUACACGUUUGAGCACUAGGCAUACAUAUCCUGUCAUCAAAGUCCUUAGGACUCCACAUAUUUUAUAAAUCAUUCUUAGUUUACAUCAAAAAUUAGGGGUUCUACAAUUGCCCUAGUUGAUGAUUAUGUUGCCAUCCGUGGAGAAUACUCUAAGUGAUGUUGUCCGUUGGGAUAUUACCCUGGACGAGGAUCGUAAUGUCAUUUGUGGAUAAAUUGCUCUGGACGAUGACUUUGAUAUUUCGCCACAUGUUUUGGCAUUGGGCAUGAUUUGUUUUUUUGUCGGUUGGCUACCGUGCAUGAUUUGUUGAUGUAUAAGGGAGAACCACUCAAAUAUUAUGUUUUGAUUCAUGUGUGAUAUGAUAUAGCCUUGAUUAGGCUAAGUGGAAUUUAAUAUGAAACUCUGGCAACUAAAGUGUGCUAUGGAGCAUGACUUAUAUGACUUCAAAAAUAAGCCUAGUGUUAUAUAUGACGUACUUUGGAGACAUUAGAGAUGAUGAAAUACCCCUCAUGGGAGACCUUACGGAGGAUGGUAUACCCCUAUGGUUGAAGAUGGUUGUUAGAGCAUUUGGUUGCACAAAGAGUGCAAUAUUUUAUAUAUGCUUAUAUAUAUAUGUGUGCGUGUGUAUGACUUUAUUAUGUGCACAACUCGCCGAGUAUCAAAGUACUCACCCACUUUGUACCAUGUGCAGAUAAAUAGGCCACUGGACAAAGCAUGGCAAGGGUCAUUUAUUGAUAGACUGAUUUUGGCAUCCGAUAAGUUCACCGUCUUCUUCACUCCGCUAGGUAAGGUCUAUAUUAGCUUAUGCACCUGAAAUGUUAAGUUUAGAAACUAUUGUACUUUGAAUAUUGUAGGCACUAAGCGCCAUGUGAUAUUGGGUAUUAAACGUUGUUACGUAUGAACCCAUCUUAAACAGUCAAUGUAUGACCCUAUGAUGAAUGUUUGGAUUGUGCCAAGGAUGGUGUGAUGUGUUGAAUUUAAAUUUUAUUGAUAAAUAUGAUGUAUAGCAUCCCUUGGCUAUGUGUUAUAUGGUUUUGAAUAUUGAGGCUUGCUCGGGUCUAGUGGGCUUGCUUGUUGGGCUCAUGCACCUGUCAUGGCCCCCAGGUUUGGGUCAUGAUACAUUGGGGCAUAGGGGCAUCCCUUGAUGGUUAGGUAGAAACAUACCUUUAUAGUGAGGUAGCCCAACAAUCCGUUGACUACUCACCCCGUAUAAAGAGUUAAUGAAAUUUUACAAGUAUAUCACCAAGAACUGUUACAAGGCGUAAGAUGGGGACAUUCUUUCCCUAAAGUGUCAUCCCCCUAAAGACUUACCAAACAUUUCUAAAUAUCCCACCAAGUGCCAUAACAAUGUUUAAAAUGGGGACAUCUCAUUUGAGGGUAUAUUACUUGUUCGAUACACAUAUUUGCGUGUACUAAACCUAUAACAAAUUUUUGAUGCCGUUGCUGAGUAUUUUCAUUCUUUAUUUUUACUAAUAUUAAUAUCGAACAAAUUAUUCUUAAUUCAAGCUUUUCUUCUAUUAUUUUUUAGGUGCUUUUGGUCAGUGUAUGAGAAGAAGUUAGAGAUUAUUUAUUGUGAUCAUGAGAUUGAGAGGACAUUUAAAAGAUGUUGUAGGAAAAAUCAACAGAAUUCUACUCAUAUUGAUUCAAUGGUCGAACAAUAAAGAGAGCAGCAAGUUCAAGAGCAAGCAAUUGAAGAAAAUCGGUUGUUAAGAGAUUAUGUUGUUCUGUUAGCACAAAAGCUUUACUCAAGCAUUAAAAGGCAAACUAUUCAAGCCAACGGUUUCGAGAUCAAGCCAGCAAUCAUCUAAAUGCUCUAGACUUCAAUUCAAUUUUGGGGUUUACCGAAUGAUGAUCCAAAUGCCCACAUUUCUAUUUUCCUAGAGAUUUUCGAUACUUUUAAGCAAACAGAGUGACUGAUGAUGCCAUCAGGCUAAGACUUUUCUCUUUCCCAUUGUAGGAUAAGGUGAAGAUAUGGUUAAACUCACUUCCUACGGGCUCUAUUACAACUUGGGAUGACUUUGCUCAGAGGUUCUUAGCCAAGUUUUUUCCCCUAACCAAGAUAGCGAAAAUGAGAAAUGAUAUUACAUCUUUGGCAUAGUUUGAUUAUGAGUUGUUGUAUAAAGUUUAGGAGAGAUACAAGGACUUACUUAGGUGUUGUGAGACCUCGACCCCUAUAGGCCCGCAACUAGGUGUGGACGCGAUAACCUAGGCCAAAGGUAAUUUCAUCAUUUCUUUAGUGAGCCCCUAAAAGUAUGCUUUCAAACAUUAUUAAGGCCUAAGUAGGCCUAAGGCAUAAAUGAAUGAUGAAAAUAAGGAUAAAUGACAAAGAAAAUAAAAAUAAUGAUGAUUUCCAAAGAAGAGGCAAAAUGGUCAUUUUUCAUCUCGGGUCAAAAUUUUUAAGUUUUCGUGAACCCGAGUAUUUUUAGACUAUUAAUGACCUUGUCCCAGUGUCAAAAGAGUAAAAAGAUUGCACAAAGGAUUGAAGGAGAACCAACCAACUGGUUAAGGACAUUUUUAUAAUUUAAGUGGCGUUGGAUAAGCUAGAGCUAUAAAUAUCAUCUUCCAACAACUUCUUCUCACAUUUCCAGCAGCUUCUUCUUCUUCUUCUUUCUCCCCUCUCACGUUUCUUCAUCCUUCAUGGGACUUUUCUUCAAGCUUCCAUAACUCUCUCAAGUUAGUCUCAAAUUUCAUGCUUUUCUGCACCUUUUCACAAGCCCUUUGUGCUCUUUUACUCUUUCACCUUAAAAACCCUCCAAAGUCUUAAACCAAUAUUUUUUUCUCACUAGCUAGGUGGUUUAGAGAGAGAAUGAAAGACUAUCUAUAAUAGUUUGGGAAUUCUUAAGGAGGAAUCCAAUUACAAAUCUAGCAAGGUGAAUGUUGAAAUUGAAUUGAUAUUUUAGUUGUUGAUAAUGUCUAGUAAUUUGAUUUGUGAGUGUUUUAUUCUUGAGAUUGUUUAAUCAUUUUUGUGUGACUAAAGUAGUGCAAAUAGUAGCCAUUUAAUUGUAGUUGGAAGAUAGUAGGAAUGACUAGUAGAACUCAAUUUAGAAAAUAGCUUUGGAAUAGUAUUAAUGCCAAGUUGGGUUGAUGGUGAUGAUGCUAAUGUGAUAACAGGUUCCAACGAGGCCCCACCACCCCAUUUGCACCAUUAGAGGAAGUUAGAGUUGAGUAGACAUUUAAUGAAUACUAGUGAGUGAACUUGCAUUUCAAAAUUUCUUUGGGAAAUGUAGAUGUAUUUGGGUGAAACAUUUGAAUGAUUUCAUCCAACCUUUAAAAAUGUGUGCCGGGAACAAGCCCUUGAUAAAAAUGUUUUUUAGUGAUUUUGUGAAAUGUGAAAUGUGUAUAAGGAUGAAUCCAUGUGCUACUAUAUUAUGUUGGUAUGUAUAUAUAUAUGAAUAUGUGUUGUGCAUUGAUGAAUGAUGUUGGGUGAUGAUGUUGAAGUGUGCGAGUAGGGAGUGCACAGAUGAUGAUGUUAGAGUGUGUGAGUAGGGAGUGCACACAUGACGAUGUUGAGGUGUGCAAGUAGGGAGUGCACACGUGAUGAUGAUAUUGCAUUGAGCUGAGUGUGGUGGGAUGGUAUGCUUGAUGAUGUAUGUAUAUAUAUAAAUAUGUGUGUCAUAUAAAGUUCAUGAGCAUGGUAUAUGGUUGCAAUACAUGUGAAAUCUUUCAUGUUGAAUUUUAGAAAUUUUUAAGCAUUUUCAAGUUGAUCUUGUCUUUGCAGCAAAAUGGCCUUUUCUUGAGAGAAUGAAAACUUGUUGUUGGUGUCCUGUCUCUCGCUGUAGCGAAAAACUCUCGGGUUUAGGGAAGUUGCACUAGCCUGGUUCUCGCUGCAGCAAGAAAAUAUCUGAAGCUAAACUUUUUGUCUUGUUUACCUUUUUGUUUGGUUGCUGCUCUAUUUUCCAUUUCUUUAGCACCAUAGUUGAUCAUGGACUUCCAACAUCAAGGAAUUAAUUAAUUACGUUUGAAAUGAGGGGUUUUGGUGAUAAACCCUUAGCCAGUUGAGAAACCCUCGGUCAGCCUAUACUUUGAGCCAAAUUUUGCUGCAUCUGUCAGCGAGAAUGCCCUUCCGCUACAACGAGGACUCGUCGUUUCACUUGACUUGCUUGAAUGUUAUUAACGUUUUUACUCUUCAAAUCAUUUGUUAUGCAUGGGUCCUUUAUCGUUAAGUGAUUAAAUCAUUAACGGUUUAAUGAGGGGUUUUAAUAAGAAUUUAACUAAGUUGCAUUGUUUUUGAAAAUAAGUGCAUUAUGAUUUCUUAACUUCUCUUAUCGAUUGCUUGUUCCCUUCCUUUGUUCACUCACUAGGUUUAUACUCACCAUUUUCAACCUCAUGUUUUCAGAUAAGGAGGCAGCCGGUAAUUAGGGCGAGGUGUCCUUGCAAAUUCGUUUCCUUGGUAGGUAUCUCGGCAUUCAAUAGCUGAACUUUGGCCGAGUUCUCUGCUAGAAGUCAAGUAUCCCUUUUUGUUGUGUAUUGACAAACUCGAUGUAAAUUAUUAAGAUAUACGUUUUAGACAAUAUAUGUAUAUUUGAUUGGAAAUGCCACUACGAGAUGGCAAUGGUUAGCAUUAUUUUGAAUUGAAAUUAUGAAAGGUGACUUUGAUAACUUAUGAUGGAAUGAUGGACAAGUUAUAUAAAUAGGCUUGCUUGGGCUUAAUGGGCUACGUCAAUUGGGCUCAUGCACCGGUCAUGGCCCAAAAUUUGGUGUAAUACCCCGCACCCUCGUUGGACACAAAUAAGACCUUAUUUAUCAAACGAAUGAUCAUUUGAUGUGAAUUUGCGUGCUAAAGAGGGACAAAGGAUGAAAGGAACGUUCUAGAAUAAAAUGCUUCGCGUGUGCAGAAACAAUAAUUAAAUAAUAAUAUUUUCGUUGGAGAGGAAUUAGCAAGUUAAAGGAUGAUUCGAAAGUAAAUCGAGAUGUAAUGAUGUGUUUCGGGACCAAAGGAGGCAAGUGAAAAUUUUUGAAAUAAAAUAAUAUUUUAUUUAAUAAAAUAAUAAAAUAAUAUUAAUAUUUUAUAUGUUGUCGGAAUUAGUCAUGAAAAAUGGAAUAUGACUAAUUUAAGUGGGGGAGAAGAAGUAAAGAAGAAUUUUGAAGGAAAAUGAUGAUAAUUGUGUCAGAGUGAUUUUAUUAAAUCGAGUUAACACGGGUAAGUAAAUAUUUAAAUAUUAUGGUGACACUGCGUUGAAAUGCGAUCUCGAUAUUUUGAUUAUACACGUAUAAGAAAAGGAAGAUAGAAGGAAAUUAGAAUUUUUACACGUGUCCGAAGAAUUAAUUUUAAAAUAUAAAAAUUUGAGGGAGGCGUGUUAAAUAAAAUGAAGUUAAGGCAUAUUAUGUAAAUUUUAUUGUUUUGAAGAAAUAAAAAUAAAAUGAAAAUAAAAUGGAUGAUAAAAUAAUGAAGAAAAGAUGUUGAAAAGUGAAACCAAAGAAUUCUAAUGUGAAUGGCCGGCCAUACAAAAAUCAAAGGAAGAAAGGCAAAAGAAAAAACAAUGAAAACAAAAGAGAAGAAUGUAGAAAUGAUGGUGGGGCAGGCCAUGUGAGAUGAAAGAAAUGAUAAAAGAUAAAAAGGAGAGGAAGUCAGUUGAGAGUGGGAGAAGAGAAAAAAAAGGAAAGAAAGAAUCGUGGGAGAGGAAGAGAAAAGAGAACGGAUUUGCUGCACUUUGAGGAAGGAAAAAUAGAGCUUUUGCUGUAAUUUUUGGAGGAAGAAGAAAGCUGAAAAUUUACGAGGUAAGAAGCUGAUUUUUGCUGCACUUUGAGAGAGAAAAUUUGGUGUUUUUUAGAGGGAUUUUGGUGCAAAAAAUUCAAGGUUUUUGCUGCUAAAUUUUGAGGUUAUGUUGCUAGAAAAUUUUGGAGGUUUUUGCUACCAUUGAAGGACAACUUUGGCUGCUGAAAAUUAGAACUGUUUGCUGCCAAUUUGUGCAAAAAAAUUAGAACUGUUUGCUGGUAGUUUGUGCAGGAAAAUUUGACAGCUUUGUGCUGCCAAAAUUUAGAAGUUUUGUUGCUGAAAAUUUGAGUUGGAAAUCUGCUGAUUUUGGAGCAAAAAAUGGUAGCAAAAAGGGUGAGAAAAUAAGGCUUUUGGUGAUCGAUUUUAAGAGGAAAAGAAGAGAGGAAGCCACGGUGGNNNNNNNNNNNNNNNNNNNNNNNNNNNNNNNNNNNNNNNNNNNNNNNNNNNNNNNNNNNNNNNNNNNNNNNNNNNNNNNNNNNNNNNNNNNNNNNNNNNNNNNNNNNNNNNNNNNNNNNNNNNNNNNNNNNNNNNNNNNNNNNNNNNNNNNNNNNNNNNNNNNNNNNNNNNNNNNNNNNNNNNNNNNNNNNNNNNNNNNNNNNNNNNNNNNNNNNNNNNNNNNNNNNNNNNNNNNNNNNNNNNNNNNNNNNNNNNNNNNNNNNNNNNNNNNNNNNNNNNNNNNNNNNNNNNNNNNNNNNNNNNNNNNNNNNNNNNNNNNNNNNNNNNNNNNNNNNNNNNNNNNNNNNNNNNNNNNNNNNNNNNNNNNNNNNNNNNNNNNNNNNNNNNNNNNNNNNNNNNNNNNNNNNNNNNNNNNNNNNNNNNNNNNNNNNNNNNNNNNNNNNNNNNNNNNNNNNNNNNNNNNNNNNNNNNNNNNNNNNNNNNNNNNNNNNNNNNNNNNNNNNNNNNAUCAAAGGAAAUUGUGCCUUAUUGUUUGUGUGGUGUGCAUUCAUGAAAUUUAUUACAUAUUCACCAUGCUAUUUUGAUACAAAAUAUCAUGCAAAUAUUUACAAUGAACAUUUUACGAAAAGAGAGUUUUAACGUGAUGUGGGGACCGAUAUUUUGAGAAAGAUUUAAAAUAUCCUCUUGAAGAUCAAAUUUGAAUUCUUUUAAAAGGAGAUUUCAUUUUAACCAAGAAAUUCAAAAGUAAUUGGAGACUAUUACUUGUUGUGUUAUAAAUCAAGGUUUGAAUUGAAUGGCUUAUGAUAAUAUUGGCAUGAAUGGUUGAAUUGGUAAAUGUGCUGAAAAUGUAUGAACUGUUGAUUUGCCUUGAAAGGCUGUAAAAUAAAAUAAUUGCCAUGUCAUGCUGUUGAAUUUUAUUGAAUUGGUGGGUUAUAAUUGGUCGGUAUAGUGGACGAGUUCCGUGGACCAGCCUAUUAGAGGGGCACGGUAGCCUUAUUAUAUUCAUACCUCAGUAUGAGAGGCGCGGUUGGAUAACUCCUGAGGUUAAAACUUUAGAGUUCACUUCAUGCCAAACCACCACGUGAGGGUGAACUCAGCCAACGCCAAGGAAUGACUAUGUUUUCAAAAUAAAAAUAUGAUUUAUGCGUACAUGACUUUUUAACAGCCUUGGCAGACUCGGUUGGGAUAGCCCUAGGCCAAGGUAUCCUUGACAACCGAGUAUGAGAAUGAUUUUGGCUCAAGCUAGGUUUCUAAGAAAGUCAUAAGCCAUGUUGUUUGUUUUUGACAAAAAUGUAAUGGUUUUAUAUGAGUUGAAAUAAGUUUUAAUAUUCUGAAUUAUAUUUCUCUGCAUGCUGAAAAUGGAAUUAAAUGGUUUUUCGCAACUCCCCUAUAUGUUUAUCUGUGAAAUGAAUAUGUAAUUCCUCGCAUAUGGGGAGAGUUAUGAUUUGUGCAUGAUUUUAAAUAUUACUUGGUUUCGUGGGAGCUUGCUAAAUUUUAUUGAUUUGAUUUGAAAAUGAUUAUUAAUAUAUUUUGAUGUGAAAAAUUUUAUUACCUCGAUUAUUUAUACUUUAUAAGAAAUUCUCGAUUUUUAUAUAAGGCACAAACCCUCGUUUGAAACGAGUUGCUUUUAUAAUCUUGCAUUUUUAUAUUCAACUGAUCUGCCAUUUGCUUGUUUCCCAUCUACGCCCUACUCGCUGAGUCGAUGAUUAUCACUGAGUCUAUGAGACUCACACCCUUUUAUUUCCCUUUUUGCAGAUGGGGAUCAGCCUAGCGUGUAGUUAGUGACGCGUUCGAUCCAUCGUGAAUAGGUAAAGGCAUCUCCUAUCAAUUUAUUUCGAGUCGCUCCACUAUUAGAGGUCAAGUUGUAGCAUUUUAUUUAUUAAGUUGUAAACAAAUUCUAAAUUUUUAUAUAGGCAUUAAUUUGGAGAUUAUAGAUUUUAAUGCAUAUACUUAUGAAUAAAAGGAAAAAAAUUUGUAUUGAUUUUUAUAUUUAUGGUUCAAUUUAGUAUAUGAAAGUAUCAAUAUUAAAUGGUGAUUGAAUGUAGUGAAUUAAAGAGUAAAUUCUAGACAGACUUGUUCGAGACUUGGCGGGUCUUUUUCGAAAGUUGUGGAUGCCGACAGCGACCGGGGAGAGGUCAUUGCAUUAGAGUGGUAUCAGAGCUUUUGGUUUUAAAAAUCAGAGCUUUUGAUUUUAAAGAUCAAAGCUUUUGAUUUUAAAGAUUAGAGCUUUUGGGUUUAAAGUUGUUUUAAAGUUGUUUUAAAAACUACAGAGUCAAUGUGGCCCAAGUUAAGUUAAGUCAAGUUAGGUUUGAUAGAAUAGAAUACGUGCAUCUGCAUAUAGAAUUUGGAGUUGUUUAGACUCAUUCUAUUUCUUCUUAUAGAUCUUAUGGGAGCAUAAGUCAUAGACAGGGAGCUAUAUGAACUCUUGUUCCUAAUAAUCCACUUCCUUGUUAAUGUCAUGCAAAGGUCAUAAGUAGGGUCGUUGUCCAGAUUUAAGAUGCCACCCGUGACACGAGCCAGUGUUAGAGAGAUCUUAAAACGAAUGCUCCUAAUGAAAGAUUAAUGAGAUGAUAUAUCCUUCUGAUUAAGGAUGGAGAAAUUUGGAGUUAGACUAAUAGGCCGUGAUAAUUUAUUCAUUUGGUGGAGUUAUAAUUGAACUCAUGGUUGUUAAUUGGAAAAAGAUUUGGGGACUAUGAAUUGUAUUGGAGUUAAUAUAAAGAAGCACAUGUGAUAAUGGUAAUAAGGGGCGCACUUUGAUUAGAAUGAAUAGUGAUGGUUGUAAUUCACUUGGAGUGUAUAAAUUAAGCAUUGAGGUAAGAGUAAACCCAUACUUAUAUGCAUGAAGAUAAGAACACUAUGUUAAUUGAGCUUGUUAUGCCCAUAUAAAAGUGGUGUUGGGAUUUUGAAAUAUUUUAUAUGUGAAUAUGUGUUGAAUAGGUACAGCAGCUUAGAGGGAACUGGUGUUGAUUUCAAUUAAGCGAUUGUGAGAUUUCAAGAAUUGAUUGGACCUAUUAUAGUUCAUGGAUAUAAGCACGUGAAUUAACUCGAGAGUGAGUAUCAAUGAUUACUAUAAUUGAUGUGUGGUCAUGAAGUAAGAAGUUAGUAAACAAAUCUGCUCUAAGGAUGAGCUUGAACUUUGCUAUGCAUAGCAGGGGGAGCCAAGGGAUUAAAGGACUAGAUGUGGAAUUGGCAGCUUGAGGUUAAAUGACUUGGAAAUGUCGAAUCUAGUCUAAGUGCCAUAUGAAGUUCUAUAAUUGAGACUGAUAUACGAAUUACUUGAAAGAUCAAUUUAAAAGUUUAUUCGGUUCAAAGUGUGGCCUAUGAUACGAAUGAUUAGUCUUGAAGGUGAUCUCCCCAGAGUAAGGAAUUUAGAAAAUGUUGAUGUUUGGAUAUACUCUAAGAGAGAGAACUUCUGCAUCCUAAGUUUAGGACAACUUUGAUCUUAUGAUCGCAAAGGCAAGGUGUAAUAACUAAGUAAAUUAUUCACUUAAUAAAUGUGAUUGGUUAUUGAUGAAUAAAGUCAAGAUCUUAACAUUUAGUGGUAUACAAUUUGAUAAUUAUGUAUUUAAGAGUUAUUUGGAGACAAUUCCUUCAUCAAAUUUGCACUAAAUGCUAUGGUAAAGGCAUAUCAAUGUUAAUAUGAAAAUGUAUCCAGGAAUGAUCUUAACAUACCACCAAAGGAGAAUUAAACAUGUUGAAAUUAAUGUUCUAAUAGUGUGCAUAUGAUAGAAAGCUAGUUUGUAAGUUGUAGUUUUCAUGAUCAUGAAAUAUAUAAAGAUUAUCAAUCUAUGGACAUACACUUGGAGGUGUAAUUUACAAGUUUGGAGUAUUUAAGAUAUGAUUAAAUGGAAUUAGCAUUAGUUAAGGUACGUAAAUCUUUUAAUUAAUUUCUGUGGAGUAUGCAUGAUAGUACAAUGGAGGAACAUAGUGCCGUAAUACUAUAUGGUGAAGUUACUAUACAAUAUGGAAAGACUAUUCUAAAGUGCGAUUUAUUGAUUGUUGACAAGUGUUAUAGAAUGAGAUGAAUUUGAAAAUAUCGACUUUACCUAUUAUAUGUGAUAAGCAUAAGAGGAUAUAAAUGGUUGUGAAAAUUGUGACGUAAGAUUUAAGGGAAACCAAACGGUUGAGAAUGAUUAGUGUAGUAACCUUAAAUAUAGAUGAAUAACAUUGAUUAAGUAAACUCCAACAGCCACCGUGCCGUGGUGCUAAGAACACUUCAUGUCUAGGACGCAUGAAUAAAAUGAGACAUAUGUGAAGUUGAACUUACGAGUUGACCUAAAGUCAUUGAACUUGAUUCUAAGUUUUGUUAGCUGGAGUUUUAAGUUUUUGGAAGGUAUCGAUAUGAAUGAGUUAAAGGCGUUCCCUUCGGGGGGAGGGGGGAGCAAAAACUCUAGGAUUCAAAACUUGGCGAGAAGGCCCUGCAGGGCCUGUAGUGCCACCCUUAGGCUCGGGGUUCCGAGUAAGUCAAGUGAUGGGGAUCUAGACAUAACAAUACCUUGGAGUGGGCCCUGAAAAGGAUGCCACAUAAAUGGCUAAGUUACGGGUUAAGUGAUCACAUGUUGUGAGACAUAAAUUUAAGAUAGAUAUCCCCAAGAAAAUACUCAAGAGAGGUUCUGCCAUGGAUCUCGUGAAAGCAAGCACUAAGUUAUGUGACCAUAAAAAGGAAGGCAUAGGCUGAGAGUGAUACUUGUAUUAAUAUUGAAAAGUACUUGCGGAAAAUCUAGUUUCAAGUUUUAUAAUUUCAAGUACAAUUUGUAAAUUGGUUAAGGAAGAAUGAUGUUAUGUUCAUAUGAAAGAGUGGAACAAAGGAUGAUUGAAGUUGACCUUGAUAAUGAAGUCAGAUAAUGAAACUUUCCUAAUAUAUUAUGGAAAUUGGAAUUUGAAAAUGCUUGAGUCAUGCAUGAUUCAAAUGAGUCUGAGUCUUAAGUGACAAAUCAAUAUCAGAAUACAAUAAGGAUACAAUAUAUUUAAGAGGCAUGAAAGAUAAUCGAGGAAUAAGGAUGACUCUUAGGAAUUGUGGUAUUGCUUAAGAUGCAAUGAUCAAGUUAAGAUAAAUCUUUGAAGUAUCAAUGGGAUUAUAAAGCAUACACGCAUAAUAGAUUAUAAUUCAAUGGAGAUGACAUUGUGAUGCAAUUAUAUAUAGUAUAAGGAAACUUAAGCAUAUAAUUGGGAAUGAUCAUAAGAAAGUAUAAGUAUGUAAAUGAUGUAGAACUAUGCACAGACAUGAUGAGAAUUUGUAUGAAUUAUGAAGAUUAUUCUAUUGAAUCUUGGUUUUGGAUGGAAUGAACAAAGAGAAAUUAGUCUAAAGGUAUUUGAAAAUAGAGACCCGUAUACAUAAUGAGGAAUAUGGACAUUUGAAUGUGUGUGUAUACGUGUGUGUGGAGUUAGUGGUGUACCCAAGUAAAAUGAAGAAUGGUUUUAGUGGUUCGAGAUUUGAACUCAAUCUAUUUAAUGAGUUGUAUAGAUAAUGUAACGAUCAAGAAUCUUAUCAGAAGUCGAUUUAUGAUGACCUAAGGAAUUUUGGGGAAAUAGUUAAGGGAAUGUAACCUUUAGCUCGCGACUCCACCUAGCUAGCUUCGUCCUCUCCUUCAAUAACCGCCUCAUCUGAUCGGGAGGUUAGCGGAUCAGGAGGUAGAGGUGCUGUUACUUCCUCUCAGGGCAGGCCUUCUGGGUCGGGACGUUAGAGUUUCGUCGGUAGAGGCCAAGCGAGGGUAUAUGCUUUAACACCCCAGGAGGCCCAAACAUCUAAUGCAAUCGUCUCAGGUACUCUUUCUGUGUGUAAUAUGGAUGCUCGAGUAUUGUUUGAUCCUGGUGUUACCCAUUCUUUUAUUUCUCCACGUUUUGCACUUCAUUUGGGUAAGGAUCGUGUUAGGAGAGAAGAACAAUUAGUGGUGUCUACUCCUUUAAAGAAGGUAUUUGUGGCUGAAUGGGAAUAUGAGUGUCACGACCCAAUACUCUCCUCGAGCCCGUGACAACCGUCGCGUUGUCCCGAUUGACACUUAUUACCCGGAAUGUCAAUCGGAACCCCGUAAGGCUUUAGUAUCAAUUUUCGCACCUCCCCAGUGAGCAACAGUUGUUAAGUAUCAUGUUUUGAGAGAUUAUAAACUAUUUCCAAAUCAAAACAAUAGAAAAAUAAUUUUUCGCUCACAGGGGCAUUUUGGUCAUUUUUUCUCGAAAGUCUCGAAACCUACUAAAAAUGUAGUAUGCGAGUGGAAAACACAUAUUUCAUAAUAAAAAAUAAGUUUAGAUAUCUAAAACAUUCAUUUAAAGUGCCUCACAUGUCCAUUUGGAGUAUUAGUUGAGGUUAGAGUCAAGCAAAAGAAUCAACAAGACCAGUGAGUGAACUUGCAUUUCAAAACUAUUUUGGGAAUGUGAAACUAUUUGCACAAAACAUUGAUUGAUUUUAUCCAACUUUUCUUAAAAACGUGUGCCUUGGGAUCAAGCCCUUGAUAAAUUGUCUCUAUGUUGUGACAUGUGGUUGUUAUGGAUUCAUGCACUACUACAUUAUGUUUAUAUAUAUACAUAUAUAUAUAUGUUGCGCAUUGAUAGUUAAUAUUGUGUGAUAAUUAUAACCGUGCGUGUGCACGAUAUGGGGGGAUGCACAUGCCGGUGAUGACUGUGGUGUGGGAGAUGGAUGAUGAUAGUGCAUGUGUGCACGAUGUAGGGGGAUGUACACGAUGGCACUGGCUGUGCACAAUGUGGGGGGAUGCACACGAUGACUCUGGCUAUGUGCACGAUGUGGGGGGAUGCACAUGAGCUGGGUGAGAUGAUGUUGGUAUUAGUGUUUAUUUAUGUAUAUAAGUAUAUAUAUGUUUGUGAAAUAAAAGUUCAUGAAUAUGGUAUAUGGUUGUAAUGCAUGUGAAAUUUGGCAUGAUGAAUCUUGCAAAUUGAUUUUUAAUGCAACACCGAAUGGGUUUUUAGUGCAAAUGAGGUCCUUUUUACACUUAGGUGCCUUGCUUCUCGCUGCAGCGAGAAACAAUCUGUUUUGGCAGCCAACAGCUCGCUGCAGCGAGAAACUCUUGGGUUCUAAUGCAGUGCUUUCACUUAGAUGAAGAUUUUUACCACCUUCCUUUCUAAACUGGAAAAAGUAAUAAACACAAAAAUUGUAUCUCUGUCUCUUAGCUUUUUAAUGGUCUAAAUAUCAGGUCAAUUGACCUUAUGUAGCGGGAGAUAUUAUAGAAAAACUGAAACACAUGCAAACUAAUACUAUUUCUCGUUGCAACGAGAAACUUUUUGUUUUGGAUGCCUGAAUCUCGCUGUAGUGAGAAACUUGCUGCCAUAAUUGCUACCUUGCUUGAUUUUGACAUAUUUUUCACCCAUUUAACUUCAUGGAUUGAUCUUGGGUUUUUGCAAUACUAUGAGGUUACUAAUCAAAGUUUGAAAUGAGGGGUUUUUAGUAAGAAACUAAAUCAAUUGCAUUGUUUUUGAAACAAGUGCAUCAUGAUUUCCAAAUUCUUCCUAUUGAUUGCUUGUUCCCUUCUUAUGUUCACUCAUUGAGUUUUAUACUCACGUUUUUAAAAUUCAUGUUUUCAGAUUUGGAGGUAGUUGGGACCUAGAUUGAGUCACACACAUAUGCUCGCCUUCUUGGUAGGUACUAUGGCAUCUCAAUAGUUGUACCUUUACCCACAGUCACUCCACUGACGGUCAAAAGUUUUAUGCUUGUGUACAUGUAUAAGUAAUGAAGACCACUAAGAUUCAUGUUAAAAAUAAAAAUAUGUAUAUUUCAUUACUGAUGCCACUGUAAGGUGGCAAAUGAGUGAUACUAUGUUAGCAUGAUACAAAUGUGAAUAUUAGAUUGCCAUAAAACGUUACUGAAAUAUUUGAAAUUGAGAAUUGAAAUAUGUGAUUUUAAAAAUGACGGUUGAGAAUGAUGAUUGGGAUUGCGUAAAAAGGCUUGCUUGGGCUUAGUGGGCUAUGCCCAUUGGGCCCAUGAGUCUGUCAUGGCCCGAAAUUUGGGCUGUGACAAUGAAUGUAUAAGAUAUUGAUAAGGGAUGCCAAUACCAAGUGAUGAAAGUGUGAAUGAAGGAUUACAAAAGUGGUAUAGCAAAUGAGUUUAUAUGGAAUAUUGCUAAGAGAAUUUGCAAUUCCUAUCUUGACUCAAUUGAAUGAAAAGGAUUAGUAAUAACACAAGGCUGAUUACGUGGCAUGCUAGAAGCCCUUGGAGAUAAAUUGAAGUAUGAAUAGUUAAGCAUGCAUUUAAAUAUCUUGGUGAAUAAGUGCAUGCCUUUUUGGAAUGAUAUGCUCUGAAUGUUAAAGAGCAAAUAAGUGAUUAAGUGUUUUAGGGAUGCAUGAACAUCCUUGAGAAGGAAUUACCAAUCAUAAACGACCAGUAUGUGUGAUUUUGAAACUUGCUAAGGAGCCUAAUGGCUAAACCACGGGUUAUGUGAUCAUAUGCAGUGAGACAUAAGUUAAAGGUAGGCAUCUAUAAGGAAAUACUCAAGAGUAAUCCUGCUAUGAAUCUUAUGGAAACAAGCAUUAAGUUAUGUGGUUACAAAAAGGAAGCCGUAAGCUGAAAGUGAUACUCACAUUGAUAUUAAGAAGCACUUGAGAAGAACCUUGUUUCUAGUCUUGAAAUUUCAAGUACAAGUUGUGAAUUAAUUAAGGGAGAAUGACGUUUUAUCAGUAUAAGAAAAUAGUACAAGGGAUGGUUGAAGGUAACCUUGAUAAUGAAGUUGCAUAAUGGAAACCUCCUAAUGUAUUAUGGAAUUGGAAUUUGGAAACGCAUGAGGCAUGCAUGAUUCAAAUAAGUCCAAGUAUUAAGUGACUAAUUAAUAUCAAAAUGCAAUAAAGAUAUAGUAUAUAUGUUAGAGGCAUGAAAGAUAAUUGAGAAACAAGGAUGACUUGGAGGGAUUCUGAUAUUGCAUAAGAUGCAGUGAUCAAUUAAAGAUGAAUCUUUAAAGGAUUAAUGAAAUUAUAAAGCAUAUACAGAUACUGAAUUGCAAUUUAAUGAAAAUGACAGUUGGCAAGUGAAAUGUGACUAAUGACAUUGUGAUGCAAGGAUAUAUAGUAUAAUGAUACUUAGGCAUAUAAUUGGAAAGGAUAAGAAAAUGUUGGCUCCAUUAGUUUUUGAUGAUAAUAAAACAUUCCAAUUCAUUUGUGUCUAAUAUCUCUACUUAAGUGUGCAGGACAAAAAUUGUAUGCAAAUAAUAAAUCAAUCCAUCAAAAGUGUAUAUCAAAAAUCACAUGAAUGAGGAAAAAUGAUUGAUCAACAAAAAGGAAGGUCCUUCGUUGAAUAAUGAAGAGUAUUGGUUGGCUAAAAUUAAAAUUGGAGAAAUGGCGGGCUGAAGAAUAUCAAGAAACAGAACUGACUUAGUCGACCAAGAAAUAAGUAAGUUGACUAAGUGCUUUCUGCCAAAAACUGAGACCAGAAGACAGAACCAAUUUAAUCAACUAAGAAGGAAGUUAGUUAACAAAGAGCUCUCUGUCUGCAAUUUCAACUUGAGCACUAGAAGAUAGAUUAAUGGCUAGAACCAUUUCUCAACUAUUUUUAACGACCAUAAACUGUCAAACUGCUAUCAGAGUUGUUUCUCCAAGUAUAAAAGGGUCUUCCAACGGUUAGAAAACAUAUAGAGAAAAAAGAAGGCUUCAAAGAACAUAAAAAGAGCUGAAAAACUAGAAAACACUUACUGCUCAUUUACUGCACUCAACUCCCAUCUUUGUAAUUGUGAUCUGCACUUUACUUGUACCACUUAGAUCAACCGUGUGAUCAUAGGUACACUCUCAUUACUUCUCUCUUUGUAUUCUUAAAGUGAGCGAGUCACUCUAAGGGAUUGAUUCAAGUUAGGAUUGCUUGAUUGGGUAUAGGUUCUAACUUAGCCUUGAAAAGUUAAGUCUUGGGUUUUAGUUAAUCCCAGUAAAAACUAUUGUGAAAGGUUUUGGCUAAGCCUGGUAAAAGCCAUUGUAAAGCUUGGUGAAAGCUUGUGAAUUUCACCUUUUCUAGUGGAUUGAUUUGGAAAAUCCUUGGUUGAAUAAUCAAGGUAGUGGAUGUAGGUCUUGGACCGAACCUUUUUAAAUUUUUGUGCAUUGUCUACUCUAUUUUUAUUUUCAUUGCUUUUUAAAUUAGUUCCUCAUCUUGCCAAGAGCCAAAAAAUGUUAUUCACCCCCCCUCUAGCACAUUUACUUGGGACCAACAGAAAGGAGUAUAGGCAUGUACAUGAUGUGAAGUUAUGCAUAGGCAUAAUGAGAAUUCGUAUGGAUUAUGUAAAAGGUAACUUGUGGUAAGACGCAAGUGGAAUGGUGAUUCAAACAUAUAAAAAGGGUAAUCUAAAAUUGAUUAUACCCCAUUGUUUAUAGAUUAAAUAUGAGAAUUAUUAUAUUAAAUUUUGGUUAUGGAUGGGAAACAAAUAAAGGGAAACUUAGUCCGAAGGCACUUGAACACAAAGAUCCUUACACGUAAUGAGGAAUGUUGACAUUUAGAAGUGCGUGUACAUACGUAUGUGUGGAAUUGAUAACAUGACCAACUAAAAUGAAGAACUGUUUUUAGAGAUUCGAGAUUUGAACUCAAUAUAUUUGAUGAGUUGUAUGGAUAAUACAAUGAUAAAAAAUUCCAUCAGAAGUGGAGCUAUAUUGAUAUAAGAAAUUUUAGAGGAAUAUCCAAGGAAAUGACAUCAAGGAAAUGUAAUCUAUAGCGUGAUUAAGCCAUACAAGAUGGACUAAUUUGAUUAAAAAGAUUUAAGUUGCAUAAAUACGGUAAAAACAUGAAGUAUGAGGGAAUGGUUGAAAGAUUCAACUCCCCAGCAUGUUGGAAAUAGGUAUAGGAAUGAAUAGGGCAUGUUUAUGAUGCCAUAAGUUGUGUAAUAGUGUAUGAGGAUAAGGUGAAUGAGUGUCGAGAACUUUAACAAGGAAUGGAGUAAUAAGAUGGUGAUUAGGUAUACAUAAGUAAGUAUAAUAUGUGAUUGAAAUCAGUAUGAUUGAGACGGAGUUAUGGUUCAAUUCUAGUGAUGGUGAUAAAGGCAUACUUGACGUUUUAAUAUAAGAGAUAAUGUUUGUUAAGGUUAUUGUCGAAUUGAUUCUAAAAGAUGAUAAUAGACAUAAAUAAAGUAUUCUAGUCGAACUGGAGGUAAAUGAGGUGAAUAAAUCAAGAUUCCCUAUAAAAGAAAGGAUGGAAUAAGAUCAUAGAAUGAGAUUAAUAACCCGACCCCAACGCGAAUUCGAGAACAAAUUCUAUUUAAGUAAGGGAGACUGUAAUACCCCAUACUUUGAUAUGGUGGCUAAUAAAGCUUAUCGUAUGCCAAUUGAGGUUAAUUAUAAUGUUUAAAAGUAAUGAAAAAUGAAAGGAAUAGUUUGGGAUAAAUAUUCCGCAUCAAGAAAAUAAUAAUAAAAUAAUAAUAUUUUUAUCUAGGAAGAAUUUGAGAGAUAAAAAGUGAUUCAGAAGUGAAUUGAGGCAUAAUAAGGUAUUUUGGGUACCAAGCAGACAAGAGAAAAAUUUUAGAAUAAAAUAAUAUUAAAAUAUUAAUAUUUUAUUCAAUGUCGAAAUUUUCCAUGAAGGAGGAGUAUAUGGUCAAUCUAAGUAGGGGAGAAGAAGAACAAGAAAAUUUUGGAGAAAAAUGACGUUAAUAGGGCCCGCGUGUUUUUAUUAAAUAAAGCUAGCAACGGUAAGUAAAUAUUUAAAUAUUUCAGUGAUACCGCGUUGGAGCAUAAACUUGAUAUUUUAUUGGUACAAGUGUUAAGGAAGAAAAAUGGAAAGAAAUUGGAAUUAAAAGAUUGUGGGAGGAUACAAUUAAAAAUGGUGAAAAACUUAAAGGGUAAAAUGGUAAUUUUGCCAUUUGCUUGGUCAAAGCUUCCCAAGGAAGCUUUGACUCCUUGCUUUUUCAGCCAUGACCAUCCUUAUCCUCUCCCACAAGAUAUUUUCUUCUUCUUCCUCAUCCUUCCCAUGCCAUUAUCAUUCCACCUCCAUGAAAAUGAAAUUUUUCAUGUUAUUUUCCUUGUUUUCUUUUCAUUUCUUUUCUUUUCUUACUCCUUUCUUCUCCGAACUUAUUGGGCAUCAAACCUGUAGCUUCUAACCCCAAUUUCCAAUAUUUUUAAACCUUAGGAGAGAGAAAGAAAAAUCUCUUUUUCUUUCCUUUAUUUUCUAUUUCUACUCCACUUUCAACAAUACUUGGAUUUUGGGCUUCAAACCUUCAUUUUUAAGGCUAAAAGGUAUAUAUUUGCAACUUUUGAAAUUUUUGAAUUUAUAGUUAUAUUUUCAGAUUUUAUUUCCUAAUUUCUUCAAAUUAUUUUUCUUGGAAAUAUUAGUUUUUUUUUUUGUUGAUCUUCAUGCCUCCAAGCUCACCAAGGUAAAGAAUCUUUAAAUAUGGAAUAGUUGAUAUCAUGGGUUUGAGAAUUAGACUAGAAUUCUAGGAUAAAAAUUAGGCUAGGAUGUGAUUUAUCAAGUGCAUGCUUAUUAGAAUGAUUAAAUUCAAUUUUGUGAUAUAUUUGAAGCUUUUAAUGUUUAUUGGCAAAUCUAGGUUUUAAUGGUAUUUCGGGACUACCAAGAUUAAGGCUUUGUGGACGUUAGUCUUGUGAGUUGCCAUUAUUGAGGUAAGUGAACUUGCAUAAAAAUGUUUUGAGAUUAAAGCGUAUGUGUUUGAAUGAAUUUCAUGAAAUGUUUUAUUGGCCUUUUCUUUAAAAUAUGCAUGGGAACAAGCCCUUGAUGAAAUAUUUUUACGACUGUGAUGAAUCCAUGUGCUUAUAUAUUAUGUUAAUAUAUAUAUAUAUGUAAAUAUAUGAUUAUAUGAUAUGUAAUUAUAAGUUAUAUUUUGUGAUAAAUAUAACCGUGCAUGUGCGGUGUGGGAGGGUACAUGCCGAUAAUGACUAUGAUGAUUCCAGCUAUGUGCGGUGUGGGAGUGCACAUGAGCUGAUAUGUCACAAUCCGGUACUCUCCUCGAGCUCGUGACAACCGCCGCGAUGUUCCAAUAGACAUUCAUUAUCCAGAAUGCCAACCGAAACCCCGCAAGGCUUUAAUAACAGUUUUUGUACCUCCCCUAUGAGCAACAAUUGUUAAGUAUCAUGUUUUGAGAGAUUAUAAACUAUUUCCAAAUCAAAACAAUAGAAAAAUAAUUUUUCGCUCACAAGGGCAUUUUCGUCAUUUUUCCUCAAAAAUCUCGAAACCAGCUAAAAAUGUAGUAUACAAGUGGAAAACACAUGUUUCAUAAUCAAAAAUAAGUUUAGAUAUCUAAAAUAUUCAUUUAAAAUGAAAUUAUGACUAUUUGAAUAUAAUAAUAAUAUUUAAUAAAAUAUUCUAUUUUCUUAUAAAACAAUAUUUAUAGAGUUACCGGUAAAUAAUUUUUGUAGCAUAAAAGCUAAAUAAAUUCAUACAUACUGUAAUUCAGAUAACCAAAGUAUAAAAUUUAAUUUACAGUGACAGGUGAGCCCACGAACGACCAAAAGUAUUAAAAGCGGUAAACCUACAGUUUUUGAGGAUGCAAGUCCAACUGUAGCCCUCAACAAAGUGAGCUAUCUACCGACUAUCCUGAACCUGAAAUGGGUGGAAAGGAGGGUGGUGAGACUAUAUAAUCCUAGUGAGUAAACAAAUACCAUCUAAAAUAUCUAAAGCUGAGUAAAUGGAGAUAGAUUAAAAUAGAUUAUCAUACUGUAAUUCAUCACCUUUUAAACUCAUUUCAACCAAAUUAAAUCAGUUCAUAUAAAUCGAGUAUUCAACAUGGCUUAUGAAUUUCUUAAAACUUUGGCUCGUGCCAAAAUCAUUCUCAUACUCAGUUAUCAGGAAUACCUUGGUCGAGGGCUAUCCCAACCGAGUCCACCAAGGCUGUUAAAAAGUUAUGUACACAUAAAUCAUGUUUUUAUUUUGAAAACAUAGUCAUUCCUUGGCAUUGGCUGAGUUCACCCUCACGUGGUGGUUUGGUGUGAAGUGAACUCUAAAGUGUUAACCUCAGGAGCUAUCCAUCCGCGCCUCUCAUACUGAGGUAUGAAUAUAAUAGGGUUACCAUGCCCCCUCUAAUAGGCUGGUCCACGGAACCCGUCCACUGCAGCGAC